CCCUCCUAUUUAUACCCCAUGAGCCCCCCCAUGGAGCCUUAGGUUUUGAUUAGAUAAAGUUUAGCCUUUGCUACUUUCGUGUAAUCGCGUGUGUCGGUUAGACCACCUGUUUUACCGUCAUCAAGACUCCAACUAUAUUGAGUAUUCAGAUUCGUGAACCUUCAUAUCUCCUAUUCGCAAUUUCAGAUUGCUUUUCAUCUUGUUCUUGCUUGUUCUUCGAUUGCUUGCAGGAACAAAGACCUUCGUGGUCAGGUUGAUCGUGCCCCCGCGGGAUCAAUAACCUUCUGGAGUUGGUGUAUCGAUUGCUAAGGCGCUGUCUCCUCGGUUAUAGUCGGAUCGUCAACGUCACCUUCUACCAAAUCGAUAAUUAGGUAUCUCAUCGAAAGAUCGGGACACCCUCGAGGCUAUCACGAAAAUAUCUCUCCCUCCUCCUUUAUAUACCCCAUGAGGCCCCCUAAGGAGCCUUGGGUUUUGAUUAGAUAAAGUUUAGCCAUCUUUGCUACUUUCGUGUAAUCGCGUGUGUCGCUUAGACCACCUGUUUUACCGUCGUCAAGACUCCAACUUAUCGUCUCGUUGAGACAUUGGUUUGAUAUAGUAUACUCGCAAUUUUAGAUUGCAUCCGCUAUUUAUCUUCUUCUUGCUUGUUCUUCGAUUGCUUGCAGGAACAAAGACCUUCAUGGUCAGGUUGAUCGUGCCCCCGCGUGAUCAAUAACCCUCUGGAGUUGGUGUAUCGAUUGCUAAGGCGCUGCCUCCUAGGCCGUAGUCGGAUCGUCAACGUCACCUCCUACCCAAAUCGAGAGUUAUCAAUCUCAUUGAAAGAUCGGGCCACCCCCACCCAUAUCACGUGGUAUCAGAGCUUAAGGUUGCUCGGUGAGAUUUUUCCAGUUUAUCCGUAGUUUAGAUCUGUUUUUACCUAUCAUCCAGAAAAAGCCAAACAAAAAUUAGAAUUAGUUACCUUGUCCUAAAACCAAUCUGAGCCUUGCAAAUUUCACUUUAGUAUUUGCAUUGUUGAAUCUUUGCUGCAUUAGUCGUGUCGAGUUGUUGGAUUAGAUUGGAUCGUUUUUCAGAUUUUUUCUACUAGAUCGAACUUGCUUUUGGUUUUCUUGUUCUUCGUGUGACGCAGGUUUCCUUCAUCAAUCUUCCGCCGCCAAACUUCCUGCCACACCACCGCCAUAAUCUCCCGCCGCCACCAUAUCUUCCACCGAGUCGCUCUUCGAGUCCUACACCGAGUCCCUCUUCGAGUCCUACACCGAGUCCCUCGUCGAGUCCUACACCGUGUCCUACAUCGAGUUCUACAUUGAGUCGGCAAGUUAUAGUUUUCAGCCGCAAGUUCGAGUCCGAGUCCAAUCAAGAGUGCUUUUGGAAAGUUUUCAUAAUAGAUUGAAUUUCGUUUAGAGAUCAUGUUGUUCGGAAAGUUGUCAAAAAAAAAGAAAGGAAAGAAAAAAAAGGAAAGAAAGAAAAAAAAAACGAAAAAAAAAAGAGAAAGAGUUCGAGUCAGUUUCGGACCCGAGUCCGAGUAGAAUUUUAGUUUCGGGUGGGUUUGACCCGUGUUCAGUAAAACGGGCGUAUCUUUUGCGUACUAACUCAGAUUUGGACGUUCUUGGACUUUUUGGAAAGGUCACGACGAGGUGCAUCAGGAAAUAUCCAGGGCGUUGCCCUGCACUUUGACCCUCAAAUUCGGUUUGUAAGGUGGACUUUUGAAACUUCCAAGUUUCUGCAUCCGUUUUCCAGCGUCGCUGCAGCCCGGUGUUUCUCAGUUUUCUCCACCGUCCGACAUCCGUUUUGAGUGAUCUUGCCCUUGCUGGAAAGCUUGUAUCGAUACCCUUCUAACCUAUAUUUUUCCAUAUUUUUCUGAAUUUUUCUUACUGCAGCCUUUGCGGUUCUUCGACAGACCGACGUACAGUUUUCCGGUCCUUCUUUUGCGGGAGUUUCUGGGGUUAAAAAAGAAAAAAGAAAAAAGAAGAACAAAAGAAUAAGAAGCCAAACAGAAGGCCACAAAAAGAAAAAAAAAGAAAAAAAAAUCCCAUGGAUUUACUUGUUGUGCCAUCUUUCUAUCCUACCUUCUUCAGUAUCUAGGCUUUGAUUAUUUCUGUAAUUCGUUCUUAUCGACUCCAGCAGCUAGGACUAGCAUUAUUGAGCAUAUUUUCAACUUUGCAUUGCUGAUUUGAUAUUUGCUAUUCCUUGCUACUCACAAAAGCCUCCAAGCUCCACAGAUUCUACACCUAGGUUGGUUUGUUACCGAGGCAUCGAUACAUUUAAUAUUCGAAGGGCUUGAUCACGCCGCUGGCCAUCACCUUCCUGUUUUGCAUGGUAAGAACUUGUAAGAACUUGAUUUUUAGCUUGAGAGUUGAGCGACUUGUAGCCACAUCCUAGUAGUUGAUAGGAACAUAUUACUGUGAUUUGUUUCUUGUUUUCUACUAACCAUGACAGGACUUACACGAAGCAUGGCAACUAGACCGAUGCUAUCCCGUGACCGUGAUGAGUUCUUUUCACCACGGCCAUCCUCCAUGUCUCUUGUUGAUAAUGCCACGGCAACGGUACAAAACAAUCCUUCUAAUACAAUUAAAUUGUGUGUACCUUUCUUUGAGGGGGAAAAUGAUGCUGAAACGUAUAUAGAUUGGGAGCUAGCUUUAACUGAACAAUUCACAUGCUUCCAUGUACUAGAUAGUCGUAAGGUCCAAAUUGCUAGUAGUAAAUUUCGUUUUGAUGCAUUAUCAUGGUGGUGUGAGAUAGUUAGAAAAAACAAAAUACCUCACACUUGGAUUGAUAUGAAGAAAAUCAUGAGAGAAAAAUAUGUUCCUCCAAGUUAUGCUUAUGAGUUGCGUUCCAAAUUACGACGUUUGACACAAGAUGAUAAAACUGUUGAUGAUUAUUACCAUGAGUUCCAAAUUUUAACCUUGCGAUCUGGUUUAGAUGAAACCGAAAAAAGAAAAAUGGAUAGGUUUUAUUGUGGGCUUAACUUUGAUAUUUCUUACAUAAUUGAAUACGGAAAAUACGACUCUCUAUUGUGUUUGCUUCAUCUUGCUUGUGAAGCGGAGAGGAAAUUGGAGAGAAGGUAUACAAGAAACGUGUUGAGCCUACAAGGUAAUGAUAAAGAUGAUUGUGUUGCUGAACAAAAUAUGACAUGUGAAGAAAUAAAUGAGAUACCCGUUGAAUUUUCUGCACCAUGUGAAAUUGUUGAUUUACAUGCCGAUUUGAGUGCACCUACUGCUGAAAUUAAUUCUUCUAAUGAUUUUGAAUGCACAUAUUAAUUUUGAUUUUGAUGAGAAUGAAUCAUGUGAGGAAAUAACUAAUUUUUGGGAGAAACAUGUGAUGUAGAUAAAUUUGGUUUAGGUUGUGUCGACUUAAUUACACAUGGAGUGAUUGAGAACGAUCCACCUAUUAAUUCUUUGUGUUAUAUUGCACUUGAUAGUCCCGUGUAUUUGUCGCAUGCAAUGGAUAAACUGUGUGAGUUAACAAUUUCGAAAUCUUUUGCUGUUCAUGGAUACAUAAUUCAUUUAAUUGGACAACAUGAUGUGAACAAUAACAUUUUGGUGCAUGAGAUUUGCAUUACUUGUGAUAAUUUUCCUCUCUUGGGAGAAAAGAAAUUUUUGCACAUGCUUAAUCAUUUUGAUAGGACCUCCAAUAUAGGUGUUGAUUAUUUGCCAAAUAGUUAUUUACAUGCUUGUUUGAAUAUUAGUGCUUUGACUUGCUCUAAAUUUCAGCAUAUUGUAGUAACUAAUUUGGAUACUAUUCAUUAUUAUUCUCCAAUGUUGGGAUGGUGUAAUGGUGAGCAGUGCAAACCAAAUACAAGAAAUCGUUUCGCUUAUAAAUGCAAACAAUUUUGUCAAUCUUCUUGCUGGAAUGUUAUUCAUCAUGAUUGUUUGACUAAUUAUCUCAUGAGACUUUGUUAUAAAAGAUUAAUUGUGCAAGAAAGGAGAUGUAUAAAGAUGGAUGACAUAUACAUAUACCAUGCACACACUUUGUCUAUUUUGUCAGUCUCUUUACAGCACAAACGACGCCGAGGACGGCUUUCCUUUCAAGAAAGUGAAAUGGACAUGCUAACCAUGGACCCUCAAUUCUAUAAUAUUUGACAAGAUUUAUAAUCAGGUGAAUUCAAGUAGUAAUUGUUUUCAUUGUCAUAUUUAUGAAGAGACGUAGCUACUACUAUCUUGUCUCGUUUUAUUACGUAGGCAUCUUGUCGAGCUUUUCAUGUCCAAGGUCAAGAUGAGAUACGAUGGAGGCGAACGGGAGGGCCAACAAGAAUCAAGCAUUCAUACAGCUGAGAGGGAAGGAUUUAAAGUGUACUUUCCAACAAAUCAAACGGCACAUGAUUCGGAGCUUGCUAGAGAAAGAUAUCACGAAUUAAAGUUGAAUCCGAUUCGGGUCCGAGCUGUCAGGAGACCCGAAUUUGUUUUAAUCACCCAGGCCGCAUCCGGAGUCCAAAUCAAGCAAACAAGUACUUGUUGGAAAGGUAAUUACAAGACCUUUCCAACGGAUCUGGCCCCAUCAAGAGAUUCGACUCGUGCUGACCGUGGCGGACAAAACAAGCUGACGGAUCUGUUUUUCUAUUUCCUAAAGAGUUGUAGUUUGUUAGGAAAGUUAGAGAUAGAGUUGGGUUUCGGACUCCUUAUUCAAGGUGGACGAAAAUAUCUCUCCCUCCUCCUUUAUAUACCCCAUGAGCCUCCCUAAGGAGCCUUGGGUUUUGAUUAGAUAAAGUUUAGCCAUCUUUGCUACUUUCGUGUAAUCGCGUGUGUCGGUUAGACCACCUGUUUUACCGUCGUCAGGACUCCAACUUAUCGUCUCGUUGAGACAUUGGUUUGAUAUAGUAUACUCGCAAUUUUAGAUUGCAUCUGCUAUUUAUCUUGUUCUUGCUUGUUCUUCGAUUGCUUGCAGGAACAAAGACCUUCAUGGUCAGGUUGAUCGUGCCCCCGCGUGAUCAAUAACCGUCUGGAGUUGGUGUAUCGAUUGCUAAGGCGCUGCCUCCUAGGCCGUAGUCGGAUCGUCAACGUCACCUCCUACUCAAAUCGAGAGUUAUCAAUCUCAUCGAAAGAUCGGGCCACCCCCACCCAUAUCAGAAAGGGAGGAUGAUAUGGACAUGCUAACCAUGGAUACGACCAUUAGAACUCUAAUUGUUGGUGUCUCUAAUAAUUAUAAUCAGGUGAAUUCAAUUACAAAAUGUUUUCAAUAUGUUAUUUGCAAAGAGGCGGAGCUACUAUCUUGUGUAAUCUUAUUAUGUAGGCAUCUUAUUGAACUUUACAAGUCCAAAGUGAAAAUGAAGUGUUAUAGCCUGCAAAGGGAGAUUCAAAGUGAAGCUUAUCAAGUCUACUUUCCAACAAAUCAAACGGCACAUGAUUCGGAGCUUGUUAGAGAAAGAUAUCACGAAUUAAAGUUGAAUCCGAUUCGGGUCGGAGCUGUCAGGAGACCCGAAUUUGUUUUAAUCACCCAGGCCGCAUCCGGAGUCCAAAUCAAGCAAACAAGUACUUGUUGGAAAGGUAAUUACAAGACCUUGCCAACGGAUCUGGCCCCAUCAAGAGAUUCGACUCGUGCUGACCGUGGCGGACAAAACAAGCUGACGGAUCUGUUUUUCUGUUUCCUAAAGAGUUGUAGUUUGUUAGGAAAGUUAGAGAUAGAGUUGGAUUUCGGACUCCUUAUUCAAGGUGGACGAAAAUAUCUCUCCCUCCUCCUUUAUAUACCUCAUGAGCCCCCCUAAGGAGCCUUGGGUUUUGAUUAGAUAAAGUUUAGCCUUUGCUACUUUCGUGUAAUCGCCUGUGUCGGUUAGACCACCUGUUUUACCAUCAUCAAGACUCCAACUAUAUUGAGUAUUCAGAUUCGUGAACCUUCACAUCUCCUAUUCGCAAUUUCAGAUUGCUUUUCAUCUUGUUCUUGCUUGUUCUUCGAUUGCUUGCAGGAACAAAGACCUUCGUGGUCAGGUUGAUCGUGCCCCCGCGGGAUCAAUAACCUUCUGGAGUUGGUGUAUCGAUCGCUAAGGCGCUGCCUCCUAAGUUGUAGUCGGAUCGUCAACGUCACCUCCUACCAAAUUGAUAAUUAGGUAUCUCAUCGAAAGAUCGGGACACCCUCGAGGCUAUCAGUCCGUCCUAGUGAGGGACCAUGGCUAGCGAGUUCGUACAAGUGGUCAAGUCUUGUUUCGCUUCGAUGAGUAGAUUUGUUUGGUUUGCUCGCCCUAGUACCUCAAACGGGCACGUUCCGGAUCAAAGUUUAGCACCGACUCCGAUUUGCCGAAUUGUCCGCCCUAGUAAGGGACCAUGCCUAGCAAGUCUGUACAAGUGGUCUAGUCUUGUUUCGCUUCGAUGAGUAGCUUUUCUUUGUGUGCUCAUCCUUGUGGCGACCCAGACCCGUAAGGAUCCGGACCUCUGUGUAAACUGUGCUAGUCCCUGGAUCAAAUGCUAGCACACACAGUUCCAUUGAUGAAAUAUCAUACACAUGUCUAUUACAUCGGUUUGAUUAACAAAUCCAGAGUACUUAAUACAAGCCAAGCGGAAGUUCAAAUAAAAACACACUGAUAAAGAGGGAGUCCCAUCAACGCCACAGGCAAGUUGAGUGUAGACUCGCGACCCUGCGUCUUCUUCUUAAGCGUCACACUCUGCACAUGAUAGGUGCAGGUCAGUACAUUGAAUGUACUUGCAAGUCACACCUGUGUGGUUAGGAGGAAUGCAUGGAAAUGAUGUAGGAUUUCCUAGUUUGGCUACUAGGGUUGUUUUUGCAAAAUACUGCUUUUGGGGUUUCGAAAUACUCAUAGUAUUUUCCUUUGAAAAUCUCUAUCCUGAAGUUUUGAUAAAACAGGGUUUGAACAAUAGUACGGUCAUUCUGUGGAUGUUCACUCCACGACCUAGCUAUGCACUCUGGGUCAACUGACUCUCACAUAGCAUCCAUUUUUCCUGACUCAUUCUGUGGAACCUUCCAUCGAGUCAAAACAGUUUUGGGGUUUUUGAAAACAAAACUUGAAGAUCUCCACUUCUCCUGACUUAAUGACUCAAAGUCGCCCGUAACCAGGGGCAUGGCUAAUCGAUUAGAUUGACACUCUCGAGAGGUUUGUACACUUUACCCACUUGACACAAUCAGUCCAAAGUGUUGCCUGACGACAAGCGUGCGCAACAGAUAAAGAUUGUGACGAAGUCUUUCACUAGAAGCCCCCUGAUACCUAAUUCUGGCACCGCCCGCCCCAUAUGUGCACAUUGGCUCCUCUCCGGAUGGCGAUACCCAGGUAAGGGUUUCCCGCUAGUUAGUCGACCAAGCCAGAGCCCAUAAUAGCAAGUGGUUGCACAUGAAGCUUUUGGGUACAUGAGAAGGUUUGAACUCUUGGAUUUCUGGACAGCGGUCCCCACCUUCUCCUGAGCGUGUACCCGUUACGGGGCUACAACACUUGCCGACAGCCAACUGGCCUCCCUCAUACCACUCCAUCCAGAUAAAACAAUUUGGUUUUGUUUCGAAAACAUUUUUCCAAAAACAUACUCGCUCAUAAAGAGCACUUAGUACUUUGCAAUAUAGUUUGGGUCCCGUCCCGUUAUAAUAGUAUAGCAUGCUUUGGAAAAAUGUAUGUACAUAACCUAUGGUAUUUGGUGGCAUGGCAAUAUAUCCUAUAAGCAAUCUAUUAGGAAUAACUAAACAUGUUGAAAACGCAUUUGAUAAAUACUUCGUAAAGAAAUAACUCUAACAUGCAUCCCUAGGAUGUUGUUAACAAAAUAGCAUAAGCAAAAAUAUAGGUUCUACAUGGUCAAUAAGUGUAACUUGCCUGGAUCAGAGAAGUUGUUGCGGUCGUCAACUCCCUGGCACUCUUCGCAAUCGCAAUCCGAAUAAUCUAACGCGAAGAACGAAACAACAAUAAAUGCAUAGUUCCAAACAUCUCUCAAAGACCAAAUAUAACUCCAAAUAAACUUCGGAUAUAUCACAAGCAUACAAAAACAGAACCUAAACAUCAUCUAAGUAAUACCAUAGUAUUAACAAUUCCAGUUCUAAAGCCUAAGGUUAAGGCUAGUGUGGCUAAGUCUGAAAAAUUCAGAAAUAUGCUACUGUUAACAGAUAGCAACUAGGAUUGACAGGUAAUAGGUGCUAAAGUUCAGAACAUGACAUGAAACCUAUGCUACAGUAUAGUUCUAGGGUUGUACUAACUAACGCAACAGGUUUCAGGUCAAUUGGAUAAACAGGUCAAAAGCUACUGGCUUGCAAAGGUGGCUAGUCAGAUUCUGAAAGACAAAAAUACUAACUUGUACUGAAAAGCUACUGGUGCUAAACUAUUCCAAUGACAGAGAACUAAACAAAGAAAUCCAAGAAUAUGAUCUACUCUUUCAAAUGGCACUGGUUUCACUAACUAUGGAGCUAUGAGGCAGUAGCUAUGAACAGGUGAAUGUGGCUACUCUAAAACAGAACAUAAUAGGAUAUGAACUUCUACCGUCGUGCUGCUAGUGAAGGUGAAGUUGAAAUGAUCGAACUAGAAAAUGGCUGUGAAGGGGUGUUCCUAAAGUUCAAUCUACAAAAAGAAACAACUAAAAUGAUGCUACGGGCAACAACGAGAACUACUGCGAAUAAGGCUACCCCCUAAGAAUGAUGCUGCAACUUUCUGCCGCGGCAGAGAUACGGCAGAGAAACUGAUUAGAAUACCAUUUUGCGACGACGAUGCAAAGCAAUAGAUGAACCAUCUACGGCUAAUGUCUACAGAGAAUUUGUAGAGGAACAUUCACUCUACAAAAUGGUGAAAUCUAGAGCACAUAAUGAUCAUUGGUUUGAUAGCAAACGAUGCCUAAACAGAGCUAACCGAAGAACAACAGCUGCAGUGAACUUAAAACAAGUUCAUACCCAAAUCCUCCCGGAAAUGAACGAUUCGACGAAUCGGGACUCGGGGAAGAAAAUGAAGAGUUGGGGGAGCUUCACGGCGUCGCAAGGAUCACUAGGGCGGUGGCGGCUCGGCGAACGGGGCAGCGCAGCUCCGGCAAUUUCUCGCCGGAGUUGGGCGGCGGCGGCGGUUUUGGCCGGAAUUUGGGGGCGCGUGGGCGGCAGAGAGCGUGGGCGGGCGAGGGAGUGCGCGAGAGGGGGCGCGGGGUGCUUUAUAGGGCUCGGGGCGCGUGGGCGGGCUGGCCGGCGGUUACCGCGCGACGUGGGGUCGUGGCGCGUGCGGCGACAGCGGUUGUGCAGGCGCGCGCGUGGCCAGGCGCGGGCGCGGGCCAACGCGGGCAUGCGCGGGCGCGCGGGCAGGGGCGCGAGGGCAUGCGCAGGCGCGCGCGGGCGAGCGGCCGGCGCGGCCAGCGACGGCGCGGGCGGCGCGGCCGUCGGCGGGGUCAGCGCGGCCCAACGGGCAGGCGGGCAUGCACGGCAAGCAGCGGCGGCGCGAGCGGCGGAGGUGAGGGAUGACAGGUGGACCCCACCUGUCAGUGAGAGAGAGAAGAGAUUGAAAGCGUAUUUCCUGGUAAUACGUUCCCCUGCGGUGAACGCGUAUUUCCUGAGAAUACGCUUCCCUGCGGAGAAAGCGUAUUUUCAGAGAAAAAGAAAAAGAAUAAAAGAAAAAAGAUGAAAAUUACUUUUCAGGAUCUAUAAUUCACCCGAAAUUCCAUUUAAAUCAUUUAAAAUAUCAAAUGGCUUCCGAAAAAUUCCCAAAAAUUCUGUAAAAUAAUAUAUUUCAUUUAGAGUCCAGUAAAAUUAUUCUCACUCAAAAAUAAAUUUGUAAUAAUAUUUUUUUAUGUUUCUAAGCUUUAAAUAAAUCCAAAAAAAAUCUUAGAAUGCAUUUUUAGACUCUAGAAAAAUCUCGAAUCAAUUUCUAACAACCUAUCACGUUCCAAAACACCGUUUCAAAUACUUUCAAUAAUGCAUCAUAAUAAACACCAAUAUUUUAUGAUAUGAUCAAGGUGAUAUGCAUAAGAAAUGUAAAGGUGCGAACAUCCGAAUUUGAAAAUUUUUGGGAUGUUACAAUCCUAGUGCCCGAAAUGGACCUAAGUCAGAGUAGAAGUUUAGCACCGAGUCUGAUCUGGCCGAAUUGUCCGCCUUAAUGAGGGACCAUGCCUAGCGAGACCGUACAAGUGGUCUGGUCUUGUUUCGCUUCGAUGAGUAGAUUUGUUUGGUUUGCUCAUCCUUAUACCUCAAACGGGCCCGUUCCGGAUCAAAGUUUAGCACGCACUCCGAUUUGGCCGAAUUGUCCGCCCUAGUGAGGGACCAUGCCUAUCUAGUCCGUGCAAGUGGUCUAAUCUUGUUUCGCUUCGAUGAGUAGCUUUGUUUGGUGUGCUCAUCUUAUAACGCCAAACGGACCCGUUCCGGAUCAAAGUUUAGCACCGACUACGAUUUGCCGAAUUGUUCGCCCUAGUGAGGGACCAUGCCUAGCUAGUCCGUACAAGUGGUCUAGUCUUGUUUCGCUUCGAUGAGUAGAUUUGUUUGGUUUGCUCGUCCUAGUACCUCAUGCGGGCAAGUUCCGGAUCAAAGUUUAGCACCGAGUCCGAUUUGGCCGAAUUGUCCACCCUAGUGAGGGACCAUGCCUAGCAAGUCCGUACAAGUGGUCUAGUCUUGUUUCGCUUCGAUGAGUAGCUUUGUUUGGUGUUCUCAUCUUAUAACGCCAAACCGACCCGUUCCGGAUCAAAGUUUAGCACCGACUACGAUUUGCCGAAUUGUCCGCCCUAAUGAUGGACCAUGGCUAGCGAGUCCGUGCAAGUGGUCUAGUCUUCUUUCACUUCGAUGAGUAUCUUUGUUUCGUGUGCUCAUUCUAGUACCCGAAAAUGACCUAAGUCAGAGUAGAAGUUUAGCAACGAGUCCUAUCUGGCCGAAUUCUCCGCCCUAAUGAGGGACCAUGCCCAGCGAGUCCGUACACGUGGUCUAGUCUUGUUUCGCUUCGAUGAGUAGAUUUGUUUGGUUUGCUCAUCUUAUAACGCCAAACGGACCCGUUCCGGAUCAAAGUUUAGCACUGACUCCGAUUUGGCCGAAUUGUCCGCCCUAGUGGGGGACCAUGCCUAUCUAUCCGUACAAGUGGUCUAAUCUUGUUUCGCUUCGAUGAGUAGCUUUGUUUGGUGUGCUCAUCUUAUAACGCCAAACGGACCCGUUCCGGAUCAAAGUUUAGCACCGACUCUGAUUUGCCGAAUUGUCCGCCCUAGUGAGGGACCAUGCCUAACUAGUCCGUACAAGUGGUCUAGUCUUGUUUCGCUUCAAUGAGUAGAUUUGUUUGGUUUGCUCCUCCUAGUACCUCAUACAGGCAAGUUCCGGAUCAAUGUUUUGCUUUGGCACCGACUCCGAUUUGGUCGAAUUGUCCGUCCUAGUGAGGGACCAUGCCUAGCUAGUCCGUACAAGUGGUCUACUCUUGUUUCGCUUCGAUGAGUAGCUUUGUUUGGUGUGCUGAUCUUAUAACGCAAAACGGACCCGUUGCCGAUCAAAGUUUAGCACCGACUCCUAUUUGCCGAAUUGUCCGCCCUAGUGAGGGACCAUGCCUAGCGAGUCCGUACAAGUGGUCUAGUCUUGUUUCGCUUCGAUGAGUAGCUUUGUUUGGUGUGCUCAUCUUAUAACGCCAAACAGACCCGUUCCGGAUCAAAGUUUAGCACCGACUCCGAUUUGCCGAAUUGUCCGCCAUAUUGAGGGACCAUGCCUAGCGAGUCCGUACAAGGGGUCAAGUCUAGUUUCGCUUCGAUGAGUAGAUUUGUUUGGUUUGCUUAUCCUAGUACCUCAAACGGGCCCGUUCUGGAUCAAUGUUUCGCACCGACUGAGGUGUCGCCGAAUUGUCCACCCUUGUGAGGAACCAUGCAUAGAGUCCGUACACGUGGUCUAGUCUUGUUUCGCUUCGAUGAGUAGCUUUGUUUGGUGUGCUGAGCAUAUAACGCCAAACGGGCCCGUUGCGGAUCUGAUACGGGUGCGGGUGGCCCGAUCUUUCGAUGAGAUUGGUAACUCUCGAUUUGGGUAGGAGGUGACGUUGACGAUCCGACUACGGCCUAGGAGGCAGCGCCUUAGCAAUCGAUACACCAACUCCAAAGGGUUAUUGAUCUCGCGGGGGCACGAUCAACCUGACCACGAAGGUCUUUGUUCCUGCAAGCAAUCGAAGAACAAGCAAGAACAAGAUAAAUAGCGGAUGCAAUCUAAAAUUCCGAAUAUACUAUAUCAAACCAAUGUCUCAACGAGACGAUAAGUUGGAGUCUUAACGACGGUAAAACAGGUGGUCUAACCGACACACGCGAUUACACGAAAGUAGCAAACAUGGCUAAACUUUAUCUAAUCAAAACCCAAGGCUCCUUAGGGGGGAUCAUGGGGUAUAUAAAGGAGGAGGGAGAGAUAUUUUCGUCCACCUUGAGUAAGGAGGCCGAAAUCCAACUCUAUCUCUAACUUUCCUAACAAACUACAACUCUUUAGGAAACAGAAAAACAGAUCCGUCAGCUUGUUUUGUCCGUCACGGUCAGCACGAGUCGAAUCUUUUGAUGGGGCCAGAUCCGUUGGAAAGUCUUGUAAUUACCUUUCCAACAAGUACUUGUUUGCUUGAUUUGGACUCCGGAUGCGGCCUGGGUGAUUAAAACAAAUUCGGGUCUCCUGGCAGCUCGGACCCGAAUCGGAUUCAACUUUAAUUCGUGAUAUCUUUCUCUAGCAAGCUCCGAAUCAUGUGCCGUUUGAUUUGUUGGAAAGUACACUUGAAAUCCUUCCCUCUCAGCUGUAUGAAUGCUUGAUUCUUGUUGGCCCUCCCGUUGGCCUCCAUUGUAUCUCAUCUUGACCUUAGACUUGAAAAACUCGACAAGAUGCCUACGUAAGAAAACGAGACAAGAUAGUAGUAACUCUGCCUCUUCAUAAAUAUGACAAUGAAAACAAUUACUACUUGAAUUCACCUGAUUAUAAAUCUUGUCAAAUAUUAUAGAAUUGAGGGUACCAAAGGUCGUAUCCAUGGUUAGCAUGUCCAUAUCAGGGGAAGUGGUAGAGGAGUUCGGAGGCUUCAAUAUGACGCGCGGGGUUUCGAAUUUGUUUGUUCGUGCGCGAAGAAAUCGGAACGGAAUCGUGGGUGACUCGGAGUCAUUCGUGGCCAAGCUUCUCGAGCAGUCGGUUGGAGAAGAAGAUGAGCGCGGGUCCCAGCGGUCAGUGAGAGCGGGCCGGCCGGUUUGGGCUGGGCCGGUCCGGUCCGGUUUGACCGGUUUUUCCUUUUCUUUUGUCUAUUUUCUGUUUUUGAACCUCAAAAUUGAUUCGAAGCUCCAAAUCACUCCAAAUAAAUUGCAACAAAAAAUUGUAAAAUCAUAUUUUCAUAUGAUCUAACUUUUGGAACAAUAAUUUUCUCAAAAUAAAAUAUUUAAAAAUACAUUUGCCUAUAAAAUGGCUUUUAGGGCCCUUAGGCUAUCGAAACAAAUUAUUUUUCAAAAUACUUUCAAAAGUCAAUUUAUGGGAUAGCUCUAUAUAUGCAUUAAAUCCCUUUUUACCACAAUACUCUCAUGGGUUAAAGUGCAAAUACUCAAAAGCAAGAUUAAAGCCUAAAAUCAAAUAAAGGCAUAUUUGCAAAAGGGUUUUCUGGGCAAAUUUUCGGGUUAUGAAAGUGAUCAAAUGCAAGGGUGACAUGAUGCUUAUGAUAUGCAAUGCAUAUGAAGAGUUUUGAAAAUUGGGAUGUUACAGAUUUAACCCCCUUAAGAUGAAUCUCGUCCUCGAGAUUCCUGUUGGUAAGCAAAAAGGUGUGGGUGGUCUUCUGGAAGAUCAUCCUCGCGUUCCCACGUAGCUUCUUCUUCGGUGUGGUGAUUCCAUUGAACCUUGCAGAACUUGAUUGUCUUGGAACGGGUAUGUCUUUCCGCUGUUUCCAAGAUCCUGAUUGGUUUCUCUUCAUAUGUGAGAUCGCUUUGAAUCUCCACUUCGUCAAGUGAAACUGUAUCCCUUAGUGGCGUAUCGGCCAUUUCCGGGUGACACUUCUUUAACUGUGACACGUGGAAAACGUCGUGGACACUUGUCAACUUUUCAGGUAACUCCAACUUGUAAGCAACCUCUCCUUGGCGUGCUAGAACCUUGUAGGGUCCAAUAUAGCGUGGCGCUAGUUUUUCUUUAAUCCCAAAUCUCUUAACUCCGCGUAUCGGGGAAACUCUGAGAUACGCUCUGUCACCAAUCUCGUUGAUGACAUCCCUUCGUUUGGAAUCUGCAUAAAUCUUUUGCCUGGAUUGAGCUAUCUUGAGUCUGUCUUGAAUCAGUCUGACCUUCUCUUCAGCGUCCUUUAUCAUAUCAGGUCCGAAUAGACUACGGUCUCCUAUACCAUCCCAUAGCAAAGGUGUCCUGCACUUCUUGCCAUACAAAGCUUCGAAUGGUGCCAUUCCAAUACUCGCUUGAAAACUGCUGUUGUAUGAGAACUCUGCAUAUGGUAGAUUCUCAUCCCAGCUAGAACCAUAGUCUAGAGCGCAAGCUCUUAACAUAUCCUCGAGAAUUUGGUUCACUCUUUCUGUUUGUCCAUUUGUCUGUGGGUGAAAUGUUGUGCUAAACUCUAGUCUCGUGCCUAGAGACUCGUGCAAUUGUCCCCAAAAUCUUGAGGUAAAUUGGGUACCUCUGUCUGAAACGAUCUCUUUAGGAACUCCAUGUAGGCAUACAAUCCUAGACAUGUAUCGUUUGGCCAACUGUGCACUUGUAUAAGUAGUCUUCACAGGUAUGAAAUGGGCAACUUUGGUCAAACGGUCAACUACUACCCAUAUUGAAUCAUAACCAGACCUUGUCCUUGGUAAGCCGGUGAUGAAGUCCAUGCCUACCUUAUCCCAUUUCCAGUCUGGCACUGGCAAUGGUCGUAGUAAUCCAGCUGGUUUCUGAUGUUCAGCCUUGACUCUACUACAAACAUCACAUAGAGCGAUAUACUCAGUGAUGUCUCGCUUCAAUCCAGUCCACCAAAAAUUUUCUUUCAAGUCCAUGUACAUCUUUGUAUUACCGGGAUGGAUUGAGUACGGUGAAUCAUGAGCUUCUUGUAGUAUUAGCUUUCUGAUCUCGGGAUCUUGUGGUACACAAAUACGCUUCUCAAACCAUACGGUACCUUGAUCGUCCUCAACGAAUCCUUUUGCCUUCUCAAUCGCCAUAUUAUCCUUUAUCGUUCUAAUUUCUGAGUCUUCUUUCUGGGCUUCUCUAAUUCUGUCCAGUAGAGUGGGUUGUACCUCCAUGUUGGCUAAGUAACCUUCCGGGACUAUCUCCAAUCUGAGGUCUUUGAAUUGCUCACACAAUUCAGCAGGUAACUCUCCAGCUGUAAGUUCAUUAACAUAGCCCUUGCGGCUCAAAGCGUCAGCUACUACGUUAGCCUUGCCUGGAUGGUAUUGAAGAUUCAGAUUAUAAUCCUUGAUUAACUCUAACCAUCUUCUUUGUCUCAAGUUCAAUUCUUUCUGCGUGAAUAUAUACUUCAAGCUCUUGUGAUCGGUGAAUAACUCACAUUGCUUUCCCAUGAGAUCGUGCCUCCAAGUCUUGAGUGCGUGCACUACAGAUGCUAGUUCCAAAUCAUGAGUGGGGUAAUUUCUUUCAUGAUUCUUUAGUUGUCUUGAGGCGUAUGCUACGACUCUUCCUCCUUGCAUCAAAACACAUCCCAAUCCUAGACGCGAAGCGUCACAGUACACUUGAAAGUCUUCCAGUAAGUUGGGUAAAACGAGGAUGGGUGCUGAUACUAGCCUCUUCUUCAAAUCCUGAAAACUUUCCUCACAUUUAUCAGUCCAUUCAAACUUCUUUUCUUUCUUCAAAAGCUCGGUCAUAGGUUUGGCUAUCUUGGAGAAAUUCUCUAUGAACCUCCUGUAAUAUCCAGCAAGUCCUAGGAAGCUGCGAACAUCUCCGACGUUCUUAGGGACUUCCCAUUCAGUCACCGCUGCUACUUUAGCGGGGUCGACGGCAAUUCCAUUUCCUGACACAAUGUGUCCCAAGAAACCAACUUUGGACAACCAAAAUUCACACUUGCUGAAUUUUGCAUAAAGCUUGUGCUCUCUAAGCUUUUCCAUGAUCAGACGCAAAUGUUCUUCAUGUUCUUCUUCUUUGCUCUUCGAGUAGAUCAAAAUGUCGUCGAUGAAUACUACGACAAACCUAUCCAAAUAUUCCAUGAAUACCUUGUUCAUCAUAUUCAUGAAGUAUGCCGGGGCAUUGGUUAAUCCAAAAGGCAUCACUGUGUACUCAUACAGGCCAUACCUAGUGGUAAAUGCUGUUUUGGGUAUAUCCACUUCUCGGAUCUUUAACUGAAAAUAACCUGAUCGAAGAUCGAUCUUUGAGAAAACACAGGCUCCUUUCAAUUGAUCAAAUAGAUCAUUGAUUAUGGGUAGUGGGUACUUGUUCUUUAUCGUCACUUCAUUCAGUGAACGAUAGUCUAUGCACAUCUUUUGGCUCUUGUCUUUCUUUUCCACAAAUAGAACAGGUGCUCCCCAUGGUGAUGAGCUAGGGCGAAUAAAUCCUUUGGCCAACUGUUCUGCAAGUUGCUUCUUCAGCUCUUUCAAUUCAUCUACGGCCAUCUUAUAUGGUCUCUUGGCUAUAGGUCCACUUCCGGGCAAUAACUCGAUAAGAAAUUCCACAUCUCGGUCUGGUGGCAUGCCUGGUAAUUCCCCUGGAAAUACAUCCGGAUAUUCUUUCACUAUCGGUACAUCCUCUAGGCUAACCCCCUUAAGAGAAUUUACCUUGGGUAAUUUAAGCUCAUAGUUUGACUUGAAGCGGAUUCGCUUCUUCUCUGGAGUUGUGAGUGUGAUUGUCCUCUUGACACAAUCUAUAAGUCCUUCAUACUUGGCUAACCAAUCCAUUCCUAGUAUCAGAUCCAAACCUUUUGAUCCCAACACUAUCAGGUCUGUGGGGAAAUUGUGUUUUCCAAUUACUAGUGUUAGCAUUCGGCAUUCACAAGCCGUUAUCAUCUCUCCCCCAGGUGACUUCACCUUCAUAGGGUUCACUAAGGUACUAGUGUUUAAUCCAUUCUCAUGAACAAAACUCCUUGAGAUAAAAGAAUGCGAUGCACCGGUAUCAAACAGUACGAGUGCUUCAAAAGAAUUUAGACGGAAGGUGCCGAUUACGAUACCUUGCUCCUCCGUGAUUUCUUCCACGUUGACGUGGUUCACAUUGCCCUUCUGAAAUGGGUUGGGCUUUGCUCCAGCCUCAUUGAACUUCUCCGGACAAUCAUUGGAGUAGUGCCCCAUCUUGUGACACUUAAAGCAUUGCACUUGGCUCAUAUCCCUGCCAGUGGUGCGGUUCUGUCCUGGGUUUCCUCCAUUGUUAUGGCCACUGCCUUUGUUGCUGUUGAUCCUUGGAUGCUGGUGCUGGUGGUGGUGCUGGUGGUUCCGGCUGCCAUUUCCUCCCUGGUGGUGAUGGUGUCCUUGAUUUCCAUGGCGAUGAUAGUGUCCACUCCCUUCAUGGUGACUCUGAUGAUUUCCACCAUGCUUAACCAUCGAAGAGCUGCCACUAACCUCGUACGAAGUGCGCGGCUUCUGGUGUGGUCCACCAUGGUUGUUGCCAGGGUGAGGCCUCUUCCUUCUGUUCUCCAUCUGAUUCUGCUUGUUCUCCAGAAUGAUGGCUUUGUCCAUGAGGGAUUGGUAUGUAGGGAUGUAAACAACUGCUAGUUGAACGGCGAGUUCGUCGUUCAAGCCAUCCAAAAACCUUUCCCGGCGUUUUGCAUCAGUGUUGACGUCAUCCGGGGCAUAACGAGACAACUUGUUGAAGGUCUCGAUAUAUUCUGACACAGUCCUGUUCCCUUGCCUCAGUUUGUGGAACUCCCUCUUCUUCAAGCUCAGCACGCCCGCAGAGAUGUGGGCGGUGCGGAAGGCAUCUUGGAACAUUUCCUAUGUUACCUCUUCCAUGGGUGUAGUGAUUUGAUAAGUCUCCCACCAAGCUGCGGCGGGUCCUUCAAGCAGGUGAGCAGCAAACCUCACCUUGUCAGCUUCAUUGCAGCCAACUGUCACUAGGCAUUUACAAUCGGUUCCGGGGAGCUGGUGAAUGUUGGUGGACGCAGCCUCAGAAACCUGGUUAACAUGUCCACUUGAGGUGGUGGGUUGGGGUUCUGGUUGUUGUGGUUGUUGUUGUUGUUGUUCAUCUGCUGGGUCAAGGCUUGCAAAAUCUGAGUCUGUGCAGCCAGUAGUUGCUGCAUAGUGGCGGCGUUGUUGUCCUGACCCUCCUCAUUGUUGUUGUCAGCAAGGCGGCGAGUAUCGCGUCUCGGCGGCAUCUGUUUUGGGACAGCAUAGAUGAGAAAAUAGAUAGACAGGAUCUAAGAGAAAACUAAGCCCCACAGCACAGGCAAUACAACAGUUCAAACAACAAGCAUAACACAAGCAUGGCAAUUCAAUCGUGAAACAUGUCAUCUAUAAAACAAGCAAAAGCAUUCACUAGGAUUUUAACAUCCAAGACAAAUAGUUCACAAGGCGUACUAGCCCAAAACACAAGUGAAAAGCUGCAAGUAAAAACACGAAUCUACAUUGCCAUACCACAACGACGGCAUGGUCAAUGACUAACACGAUAACGAAUAUAGUAUAAUGAAUAAUUUGGCGGGCUCUAAGCUGAAACUAAGGAAGUGAAAGGAAGUUGGUGUUCCCGGAGUUCUUUUCCCUAGAACGGGUGCGGGUGGCAGGUGUGUCCAUCUCCUGCGCCUCCUGAGGUUCCUCCUCCUGUGGCUCCAUCUCCUCGUCCUGAGGGGGUGGUGGAACUUGUGCCGGUGCAAGUGCAGGGUUGGCAUUGUUGACCUGGGCUUGGAGCUAAUCAUACUGAAGUUGUAGGAGAUCCUUCUCGUACAUAAUCUGCUCCAUGAUCGCGUGCAUGUUCAGGAUAACAUCUCCCCUGCGGUUCACCUCAUUUGUCUUCAACGUCAGUUGACCUUGGAGUAUCCCCACCUGGUCUUUAGCUAUAUCUGCACGGGUCAUCUCGUUGUAGAGACUCUUUCCUAUGUCCACCAUGUUCUGCUCCAGAGCUUGAAACUGAACAUCCUCCAUGUGCGGAUCCUCGCCUAGGAUCUCCGGUCCCACGGCAUUCCCGCCAACAACUCGCCUUCCGAAGCUACGGAAAACAGAGUUCGGAGGCAGUUCAUCAUGGUACGCCUCGCACACACGAGCUAUCGCAUGUUGCAUGGCGAACUGGAGUCCCAGCAUGAAGUCGGGGUAGCGCACGGAGUAGGUGAUGUCGGGCGUCAAUGGAACAACAGUCCGUCCUUUGAUCUCCGUGUCGAUCUCCCAGCGGCGUGCACCUCCCUGGGAUCCCACCGGCUCAGCACGUCCUCGGAAACAGGGUGCUGCCAGGUGCAGUGUCGUGCACAAAGUAGCAAGCUGUCUCCCAAACGGGAUGUCGUCGUCAACUGUCGGGUAAUGGACGUGUGUGAAAGGUGGCUCAUCUCCGAAAUUUGGUGGACCCUUCAUCUACAAGAUUUAUGGUGGAGGGAAGGAAUUAGUCAUAUGAUCAAGUAGGUGGAUGCAUAAAUGUAAUAAUGACAAUAUAAGGUGUAUGUUAUGCAAACAUGACGUAUGAUUGUAAUAGUGGAAAGCAUGACAUUGUAGUAUGAGGUGUAUAUAUAAAUGCAUAUAAAAUCUGAGGAUGCAAGUGGAUGAAGUAAAACACAAGUAGUACAUAUGCAUUGGUCAUUGGUAUGAUUGUAAGUGUAUAUGAAUAUGCAAGUAUCACAAUAUGCAAAUUUAGAGUGGUAUGAAAUGCAUAGAACAAUCCUAUGGUCUCUUUUGGUCUAAUCCAUGCUAGGGUCACGUUCCUACAGGCAACACAAUGCUCUGAUACCAUCUGAAGCGACCGCCCCUGUAUACGGGUUCGAUCUCUGUGCUUUAGUGCUAGUCCCUGGAUCGACUCACUAGCACACACAGUUUCAAGAUGUAAUAUCAUAGAACAAAGGUCUCAAUAUUACAACGAAUCAUCCAGAAUUUAAAGGUACUUACAACUCGCAUAAGCUCACCGGUUAGCUGAAAAUAAAACAACUGUUUAGCAGCGGAAAACGGAAGAUACAAGGGCACAUCAACACCACGGUGAGAGCGUGUUGGAAUGUAAGCCCGUAACCCAAACAAGUAGAACGUACAUCUUACUCGUCGUCGGAGCUUCCUGCAUCAUUAAACGACGCAGCCACUAGGGUCAAUACAUUGAAUGUAUUGGCAAGAUUCACUAGGAGUUAUAGCAGAGCUACCAAAUAUAUGCAUAAUGUGGCAAAGUAGGGUUCAAGCUAUUUGCUUAAAAGCUUAGUUAUUGAAUCCUAUCUUUUAAUCAAAUAGAAUUUUAUCACUAUUGGACACGGGGUAGACACACCCAUGCUCCUAUUAUCCUAGAGCACAUUGAUGUGGAUUCAUCAAGUGCUCCUACCCUGUUCAACCAUUCAUUUUAUUUAAGAAGUUAGAAUGAGUGAGACUUUCCUUACAGCUCCACAUCUAGUCGCUCAAAUUGUCCGUUGCCGGGGACACGGCUAAGUACUUAGUUUUGACGCUCUCGAGAGUUUGUACACAUUCCCCACAAGAAACCGACGUGUUAAUCCCUUGCUGUCCUCAGGGUAGAGUAGCAACGGCAUCGAUUACGAGAUUUUCAAAGGUAAUUCCCUAAACACGAGAGAAUCACGCUCCCCCUACACGGCUACCUCAGUACAAUUCUUCGGGUUUAGGUUCAUACAACUUACUCUUGUCUCGCCAGAGCCCAUAUAGCAUUGUGGUUGUACUAGAAGCUUCUAAAUAGGAAACUAGUCCAAUCUCGGUUACCCCAGGUGGCAUUCCACAUUUGCAACGUAGGCGCUCUCCGAAUCCACGGGAUAGACGUCCAUGGACGAUCCAUUCCUGAAUCCACAGGAACUCGACUCAGAGGGACCCAUAGAAAUGGACCUGACGCCGCUAAUCCUCAAAAUCUUCAAAGCAGCCCACCCAGGACGGUUCAUUGAAUUAUUUGUUUUGCCUUACAUCUAACAAAACAUUUCAUAUCGCCAAAGGCAUAACAAUAUCAUAAUGUAGUUAUUUCCCCCACGAUACUACCAUAGCCUAGCAUUCAACUACAAUCGAUGGCAAUUUGGUAGCAAGGUAAUGGCGAGGGUAAACUAGACUACCUGGGAUUUAUAGCUAGCAUAGAAGUACGAGUAAUAUUCCUGAUGCAUCUAAUAAAACAUCUAGUGCAUAGUAAAAAUAUUUAGGAGAAUGAUCAAAGUGAACUUGCCUUGUCCAAGGUUGUGGUAGUUCUCGCACUCUUCGCAACAACAAUGAUUACACUCCACACAAUCUAAAAUAAAAGGAACACACACAAUAAACACAACACUCAAUACAAAAUCAUGCCAUGAUGCAUAUGCUAUGAUGAUGCACAACGAAGGUUACUUCUAAAGUAAAAAGUUUCAUUUCCGUUUUGAAAAGUUUUUCAAAUGAUUUGGAGAGAUUAUACACCAAUAAGGAGUUAACAAAUAUGCAUGAAACAUGGAUAGGGUUUAAAACAAAAAAUUGUGCGGCUUUUGUAACAUAGAGCAAGAUUUAAACUUGUAAGCCAUUUUUAUUCGCAAAACAAUUUCUUUUCUGGUCCUAAUGGACAGACAACAAGUUUAAAUAAUUUUACAGAAAGAUAACAUGCUAAAAACUAUUUUGAAACAAUUCAUUUGAAAUUUAAAACAUAAACCACCAAUCUGUAAAUAGCUACUGUCUAAGUUGUUCAAAACUGAAAUUAAACAGUGCCAAAAUAUUCUACACGUUGUGACGAUUCCAGAAAGGUAUGGAACACAAUUUUUGGAUAAACGGUUUAAAAGAUAUAAGGUUUUGAAGUUGUAGGGGCUUUUCUGCAAAAUUGCAUUAUCCAAUUUGGCCGAAUUAAAAUAAAACAAAAGUUUUUGCCACGUGGCAGCGUGGGAUAGGCCGGGAUCUAGGGUUCCGGCCGGCGGCUAGCUCGCCGGUGGCGCCGCGGGGCGGCACGGCGCACGGGCGCGGGGCGGAGCGCGGGACGGGGGCGGAGUGGCCGGAUUUGGACUCCGGAUGCGGCCUGGGUGAUUAAAACAAAUUCGGGUCUCCUGGCAGCUCGGACCCGAAUCGGAUUCAACUUUAAUCCGUGAUAUCUUUCUCUAGCAAGCUCCGAAUCAUGUGCCGUUUGAUUUGUUGGAAAGUACACUUGAAAUCCUUCCCUCUCAGCUAUAUGAACGCUUGAUUCUUGUUGGCCCUCCAGUUCGCCUCCAUCGUAUCUCAUCUUGACCUUGCACUUGAAAAGCUCAACAAGAUGCCUACGUAAUAAAACGAGACAAGAUAGUAGUAGCUCCCCCUCUUCAUAAAUAUGACAAUGAAAACAAUUACUACUUGAAUUCACCUGAUUAUAAAUCUUGUCAAAUAUUAUAGAAUUGAGGGUACCAAAGGUUGUAUCCCUGGUUAGCAUGUCCAUAUCAAGAUUUGUUUGAUUUGCUAAUCCUAGUACCUCAAACGGGAACGUUCCGGAUCAAAGUUUAGCAACGACUCCGAUAUGCCGAAUUGUAUGCCCUAGUGAGGGACCAUGCCUAGCCAGUAUGUACAAGUGGUCCAGUCUUGUUUUGCUUCGAUGAGUAGCUUUUUUUGGUGUGCUCAUAUUAUAACGCCAAACCGACCCGUUCCGCAACAAAGUUUAGCAUCGACUCCGAUUUGCCGAAUUGUCCGCUCUAAUUAGGGACCAUGGCUAGCGAGUCCGUAAUAGUGGUCUAGUCUUCUUUCGCUUCGAUGAGUAUCUUUGUUUGGUGUGCUCAUUCUAGUACCCGAAAUGGACCUAAGUCAGAGUAGAAGUUUAGCACCGACUCCGAUCUGGCCGAAUUGUCCGUCCUAGUGAGGGACCAUGCCUAGCGAGUCCGUACAAGUGGUCAAGUCCUGUUUCGCUUCGACGAGUAGAUUUGUUUGGUUUGCUCAUCCUAAUACCUCAAACGGGCUGUUCCGGAUCAACGUUUAGCACGGACUCCGAUUUGGCCGAAUUGUCCGCCCUAGUGAGGGACCAUGCCUAGCCAGUCUGUACAAGUGGUCUAGUCUUCUUUCGCUUCGAUGAGUAACUUUGUUUGGUGUGCUCAUUCUAGUACCCGAAAUGGACCUAAGUCAGAGUAGAAGUUUAGCACCGACUCCGAUCUGGCCGAAUUGUCCGUCCUAGUGAGGGACCAUGCCUAGCGAGUCCGUACAAGUGGUCAAGUCCUGUUUCGCUUCGACGAGUAGAUUUGUUUGGUUUGCUCAUCCUAGUACCUCAAACGGGCUGUUCCGGAUCAACGUUUAGCACGGACUCCGAUUUGGCCGAAUUGUCCGCCCUAGUGAGGGACCAUGCCUAGCCAGUCUGUACAAGUGGUCUUGUCUUGUUUCGCUUCCAUGACUAGAUUUGUUUGGUUUGCUCAUCCUAGUACCUCAAACGGCCCGUUCCGGAUCAAAGUUUAGCACGGACUAUGAUUUGGCCGAGUUGUCCGCCCUAGUGAACGACCAUGCCUAUCUAAUCCGUACAAGUGGUCUAAUCUUGUUUUGCUUCGAUGAGUAGCGUUGUUUGGUGUGCUCAUCUAAUAACGCCAAACCGAACCGUUCCGGAUCAAAGUUUAGCACCGACUCCGAUUUGCCGAAUUGUCCGCCCUAAUGCGAGACCAUGCCUAGCGAGUCCGUGCAAGAGGUCUAGUCUUCUUUCGUUUCGAUGAGUAUCUUUGUUUCGUGUGCUCAUUCUUGUAGCCGAAACUGGCCUAAGUCAGAGUGGAAGUUUAGCACCGACUCCGAUCUGGCCGAAUUGUCCGUCCGAGUGAGGGACCAUGCCUAGCGAGUCCGUACAAGUGGUCUAGUCUUGUUUCGCUUCGAUGAGUAUCUUUCUUUGGUUUGCUCACCCUAGUACCUCAAACGGACCUGUUCCCGAUCAAAGUUUAGCACCGACUCCGAUUUGCCGAAUUGUCCGCCCUCAUGAGGGACCAUGCCUAGCUAGUCCGUACAAGUUGUCUAGUCUUGUUUCGCUUCGAUGAGUAGAUUUGUUUGGUUUGCUCAUCCUAGUACCUCAUACGGGCAAGUUCCGCAUCAAAGUUUAGCACGGACUCCGAUUUGGCCGAAUUGUCCGCCCUAGUGAGGGACAAUGCCUGUCUAGUCCGUACAAGUGGUCUAAUCUUGUUUUGCUUCGAUGAGUAGCUUUGUUUGGUGUGCUCAUCUUAUAACGCCAAACCGAACCGUUCCGGAUCAAAGUUCAGCACCGACUCCGAAUUGCCGAAUUGUCCGCCCUAAUGUGGGACCAUGCCUAGCGAGUCCGUGCAAGUGGUCUAGUCUUCUUUCGCUUCGAUGAGUAUCUUUGUUUCGUGUGCUCAUUCUAGGACCCGAAAUGGGCCUAAGUCAGAGUGGAAGUUUAGCACCGACUCCGAUCUGGCCGAAUUGUCCAUCCUAGCGAGGGACCAUGCCUAGCGAGUCCGUACAAGUGGUCUAGCCAUGUUUCGCUUCGAUGAGUAUCUUUCUUUGGUUUGCUCACCCUACUACCUCAAACGGACCUGUUCUCGAUCAAAGUUUAGCACCGACUCCGAUUUGCCGAAUUGUCCGCCCUAGUGAGGGACCAUGCCUAGCAAGUCCGUACAAGUUAUCUAGUCUUGUUUCGCUUCGAUGAGUUGAUUUGUUUGGUUUGCUCAUCCUAGUACCUCAUACGGGCAAGUUCCGCAUCAAUGUUUAGCACGGACUCUGAUUUGGCCGAAUUGUCCGCCCUAGGGAGGGACCAUGCCUGUCUAGUCCGUACAAGUGGUCUAAUCUUGUUUUGCUUCGAUGAGUAGCUUUGUUUGGUGUGCUCAUCUUAUAACGCCAAACCGAACCGUUCCGGAUCAAAGUUUAGCACCGACUCCGAAUUGCCGAAUUGUCCGCCCUAAUGUGGGACCAUGCCUAGCGAGUCCGUGCAAGUGGUCUAGUCUUCUUUCGCUUCGAUGAGUAUCUUUGUUUCGUGUGCUCAUUCUAGUACCCGAAAUGGGCCUAAGUCAGAGUGGAAGUUUAGCACCGACUCCGAUCUGGCCGAAUUGUCCAUCCUAGCGAGGGACCAUGCCUAGGGAGUCCGUACAAGUGGUCUAGCCAUGUUUCACUUCGAUGAGUAUCUUUCUUUGGUUUGCUCACCCUACUACCUCAAACGGACCUGUUCUCGAUCAAAGUUUAGCACCGACUCUGAUUUGCCGAAUUGUCCGCCCUAGUGAGGGACCAUGCCUAGCUAGUCCGUACAAGUUGUCUAGUCUUGUUUCGAUUCGAUGAGUUGAUUUGUUUGGUUUGCUCAUCCUAGUACCUCAUACGGGCAAGUUCCGCAUCAAAUUUUAGCACGGACUCCGAUUUGGCCGAAUUGUCCGCCCUAGUGAGGGACCAUGCCUCUCUAGUCCGUACAAGUGGUCUAAUCUUGUUUUGCUUCGAUGAGUAGCUUUGUUUGGUGUGCUCAUCUUAUAACGCCAAACCGAACCGUUCCGUAUCAAAGUUUAGCACCGACUGCGAAUUGCCGAAUUGUCCGCCCUAAAGCGGGACCAUGCCUACUGAGUCCGUGCAAGUGGUCUAGUCUUCUUUCGCUUCGAUGAGUAUCUUUGUUUCGUGUGCUCAUUCUAGUUCCCGAAAUGGGCCCAAGUCAGAGUAGAAGUUUAACACCGACUCCGAUCUGGCCGAAUUGUCCGUCGUAGUGAGGGACCAUGCCUAGCGAGUCCGUACAGGUGGUCUAGUCUUGUUUUGCUUCGAUGAGUAUCUUUCUUUGGUUUGCUCACCCUAGUACCUCAAACGGGCACGUUCCGGAUCAAUGUUUAGCACCGACUAUGAUUUAGCCGAAUUGUCCGUCCUGGAGAGGGACCGCGCCUAGCGAGUCCGUACAAGUGGUCUAGUCUUAUUUCGCUUCGAUGAGUAGCUUUGCUUUGUGUGCUCAUCCUAGUACCCUAAAUGGACCCGACUCCGAUUAGAAGUUUAGCACCGACUCCGAUCUUGCGGAAUUGUCCGUCCUAGUGAGGGAGCAUGCCUAGCGAGUCCGUACAAGUGGUAUAGUCUUGUUUCGCUUCGAUGAGUAGAUUUGUUUGGUUUGCUCAUCCUAGUACCUCAAACGGGCCCCUUCCGGAUCAAAGUUUAGCAUGGACUCCGAUGUGGCCGAAUUGUCCGCCCUAGUGAGGGACCAUGCCUAGCUAGUCCGUACAAUGGUCCAAUCUUGUUUCGCUUCGAUGAGUAGCUUUGCUUGGUGUGCUCAUCCUAGUACUCAAAAUGGACCCGACUCCGAAUAGAAGUUUAGCACCGACUCCGAUCUGGCCGAAUUGUCCGUUCUAGUGAGGGACCAUGCCUAGCGAGUCCGUACAAGUGGUCUAGCCAUGUUUCGCUUCGAUGAGUAUCUUUCUUUGGUUUGCUCACCCUACUACCUCAAACGGACCUGUUCUCGAUCAAAGUUUAGCACCGACUCCGAUUUGCCGAAUUGUCCGCCCUAGUGAGGGACCAUGCCUAGCUAGUCCGUACAAGUUGUCUAGUCUUGUUUCGCUUCGAUGAGUUGAUUUGUUUUGUUUGCUCAUCCUAGUACCUCAUACGGGCAAGUUCCGCAUCAAAUUUUAGCACGGACUCCGAUUUGGCCGAAUUGUCCGCCCUAGUGAGGGACCAUGCCUCUCUAGUCCGUACAAGUGGUCUAAUCUUGUUUUGCUUCGAUGAGUAGCUUUGUUUGGUGUGCUCAUCUUAUAACGCCAAACCGAACCGUUCCGGAUCAAAGUUUAGCACCGACUCCGAAUUGCCGAAUUGUCCGCCCUAAAGCGGGACCAUGCCUAGCGAGUCCGUGCAAGUGGUCUAGUCUUCUUUCGCUUCGAUGAGUAUCUUUGUUUCGUGUGCUCAUUCCUAGUAUCACAUCCAAACCUUUUGAUCCUAACACUAUCAGGUCUGUGGGGAAAUUGUGUUUUCCAAUUACUAGUGUUAGCAUUCGGCAUUCACAAGCCGUUAUCAUCUCUCCCCCAGGUGACUUCACCUUCAUAGGGUUCACUAAGGUACUAGUGUUUAAUCCAUUCUCAUGAACAAAACUCCUUGAGAUAAAAGAAUGCGAUGCACCGGUAUCAAACAGUACGAGUGCUUCAAAAGAAUUUAGACGGAAGGUGCCGAUUACGAUACCUUGCUCCUCCGUGAUUUCUUCCACGUUGACGUGGUUCACAUUGCCCUUCUGAAAUGGGUUAGGCUUUGCUCCAGCCUCAUUGAACUUCUCCGGACAAUCGUUGGAGUAGUGCCCCAUCUUGUGACACUUAAAGCAUUGCACUUGGCUCAUAUCCCUGCCAGUGGUGCGGUUCUGUCCUGAGUUUCCUCCAUUGUUAUGGCCACUGCCUUUGUUGCUGUUGAUCCUUGGAUGCUGGUGUUGGUGUUGGUGCUGGUGGUUCCAGCUGCCAUUUCCUCCCUGGUGGUGGUGGUGGUGUCCUUGAUUUCCAUGGCGAUGAUAGUGUCCACUCCCUCCAUGGUGACUCUGAUGAUUUCCACCAUGCUUAACCCUCGAGGAGCUGCCACUACCCUCGUACGAGGUGCGCGGCUUCUGGUGUGGACCAGCGUGGUUGUUGCCAUGGUGAGGCCUCUUCCUUCUGUUCUCCAUCUGAUUCUGCUUGUUCUCUAGAAUGAUGGCUUUGUCCAUGAGGGACUGGUAUGUAGGGAUGUAAACAACUGCCAGUUGAACGGCGAGUUCGUCGUUCAAGCCAUCCAAAAAUCUUUCCCGGUGUUUAGCAUCGGUGUUGACGUCAUCCGGGGCAUAGCGAGACAACUUGUUGAAAGCUUCGAUGUACUCUGACACAGUCCUGUUCCCUUGCCUCAGUUUGUGGAAUUCCCUUUUCUUCAAGCUCAGCACGCCUGCAGAGAUGUGGGCGGUGCGGAAGGCUUCUUGGAACAUUUCCCAUGUGACUUCUUCCAUGGGUGUGGUCAUCUGAUAAGUCUCCCACCAAGCAGGUGAGCAGCAAACCUCACCUUGUCAGCUUCAGUGCAGCCAACUGUCACUAGGCAUUUGCUCACAGAACGGAGCCAAUCAUCAGCUACAAUCGGUUCCGGGGAGCUGGUGAAUGUUGGUGGACGCAGCCUCAGAAACCUGGUUAACAUGUCCACGUGAGGUGGUGGGUUGGGGUUCUGGUUGUUGUGGUUGUUGUUGUUGUUGUUGUUGUUCAUCUGCUGGGUCAAGGCUUGCAAAAUCUGAGUCUGUGCAGCCAGCAGUUGCUGCAUGGUGGCGGCGUUGUUGUCCUGACCCUCCUCAUUGUUGUUGUCAGUAGGGCGGCGAGUAUCGCGUCUCGGCGGCAUCUGUUUCGGGACAGCAUAGAUGAGAAAAUAGAUAGACAGGAUCUAAGAGGAAACUAAGCCACACAACACAGGCAAUACAACAGUUCAAACAACAAGCAUAACAAUUCAAUUAUGAAACAAGUCAUCAAAAAAAAACAAGCAAUAGCACUCACUAGGAUUUUAACAUCCAAAACGAAUAGUUCACCCGGCGUACCAGCCUAAACACAAGUAUAGAGUUGCAAAUAAACACACGAAUCUACAUUGCCAUACCAAAACGACGGCAUGGUCAAUGACUAACACGAUAACGAAUAUAGUAUAAUAAAUAGUCCAGCGGCUCUAAACUGAAACUAAGGAAGUGAGAGGAAGUUGGUGUUCCCGGAGUUCUUCGCCCUGGAACGGGUGCGGGUGGCAGGUGUGUCCAUCUCCUGCGCCUCCUGAGGUUCCUCCUCCUGUGGCUCCAUGUCCUCGUCCUGAGGGGGUGGUGGAGCUUGUGCUGGUGCCGGUGCAGGGUUGGCGUUGUUGACCUGGGUUUGGAGCUGAUCAUACUGAAGUUGCAGAAGAUCCUUCUCGUACAUAAUCUGCUCCAUGAUCGCGUGCAUGUUCAGGAUAACAUCUCCCCUGCGGUUCACCUCGUUUGUCUUCGUCGUCAGUUGACCUUGGAGUAUCCCCACCUGGUCUUCAGCUAUAUCUGCACGGGUCAUCUCGUUGUAGAGACUCUUUCCUAUGUCCACCAUGUUCUGCUCCAGAGCUUGAAACUGAACAUCCUCCAUGUGUGGAUCCUCGCCUAGGAUCUCCGGUCCCACGGCAUUCCCGCCAACAACUCGCCUUCCGAAGCUACGAAAGACAGAGUCCGGAGGCAGUUCAUCAUGGUACGCCUCGCACACACGAGCUAUCGCAUGUUGCAUGGCGAACUGGAGUCCCAGCAUGAAGUCGGGGUAGCGCACGGAGUAGGUGAUGUCGGGCGUCAAUGGAACAACAGUCCGUCCCUUGAUCUCCGUGUCGAUCUCCCAGCGGCGUGCACCUCCCUGAGAUCCCACCGGCUCAGCACGUCCUCGGAAACAAGGUGCUGCCAGGUGUAGUGUCGUGCACAAAGUAGCAAGCUGCCUCCCAAACGGGAUGUCAUCGUCAACUGCCGGGUAAUGGACGUGUGUGAAAGGUGGCUCAUCUCCGAAAUUUGGCGGUCCAUUCAUCUACAAGAUUGAUGGUGGGGGAAAAGAAUUAGUCACAUGAUCAAGUAGGUGGAUGCAUAAAUGUAAUAAUGACAAUAUAAGGUGUAGGUUAUGCAAACAUGACGUAUGAUUGUAAUAGUGGAAAGCAUGAUAUUGUAGUAUGAGGUGUAAAUAAAUGCAUACAAAAUCUUUAGAUGCAAAUGGAUGAAAUAAAAUACAAGUAGUACAUAUGCAUUGGACCUUGGUAUGAUUGCAAGUGUAUAUGAUUAUGCAUGUAUCUCAAUAUGCAAAUUUAGAGUGGUAUGAAAUGCAUAGAACAAUCCUAUGGUCUCUUUUAGUCUAAUCCAUGCUAGGGUCACGUUCCUACAGGCAACACAAUGCUCUGAUACCAUCUGAAGCGACCGCCCCCGUAAAAGGGUUCGAUCUCUGUGCUUUAGUGCUAGUCCCUGGAUCGACUCACUAGCACACACAGUUUCAAGAUGUAAUAUCAUAGAACAAAGGUCUCAAUAUUACAACGUAUCAUCCAGAAUAUAAAAGGGUACUUACAAUUCGCAUAACCUCAUGGGUUAGCUAGAAAUAAAACAAUUGUUUAGCAGCGGAAAACGGAAGAUACAAGGGCACAUCAACACCACGGUGAGAGCGUGUUGGAAUGUAGGCCCGUAACCCAAAUAUGCAGAACGUACGUCUUACUCGUCGUCGGAGCUUCCUGCAUCAUUAGACGAUGCAGCCACUAGGGUCAAUACAUUGAAUGUAUUGGCAAGAUUCACUAGGAGUUAUACCAGAGCCUACCAAAUAUAUGCAUAGUGUGGUAAAGUGGGGUUCAAGCUAUUUGCAUAAAAGCUUAGUUAUUGAAUCCUAUCUUUUAAUCAAAUAGAAUUUUAUCACUAUUGGACACGGGGUAGACACACCCAUGCUCCUAUUAUCCUAGAGCACAUUGAUGUGGAUUCAUCAAGUGCCCCUACCCUGUUCAACCAUUCAUUUUAUUUAAGAAGUUAGAAUGAGUGAGACUUUUCUUACAGCUCCACAUCUAGUCGCUCAAAUUGUCCGUUGCCGGGGACACGGCUAAGUACUUAGUUUUGACGCUCUCGAGAGUUUGUACACAUUCCCCACAAGAAACCGACGUGUUAAUCCCUUGCUGUCCUCUGGGUAGAGUAGCAACGGCAUCGAUUACGAGAUUUUCAGAGGUAAUUCCCUAAACCACGAGAGAAUCACGCUGCCCCUACACAGCUACCUCAGUACAAUUCCUCGGGUCUAGGUUCAUACAACUUACUCUUGUCUCGCCAGAGCCCAUAUAGCAUUGUGGUUGUACUAGAAGCUUCUAAAUAGGAAACUAGUCCAGUCUCGGUUACCCCAGGUGGCAUUCCACAUUUGCAACGUAGGCGCUCCCCGAAUCCACGGGAGAGACGUCCAUGGACGAUCCAUUCCUGAAUCCACAGGAACUCGACUCAGAGGGACCCAUAGAAAUGGACCUGACGCCGCUAAUCCUCAAAAUCUUCAAAGCUGCCCACCCAGGACGGUUCAUUUAAUUAAUUGUUUUGCCUUACAUCUAAUAAAAUCAUUUCAUAUCGCCAAAGGCAUAACAAUAAAUAAUGUAGUUAUUUCCCCCACGAUACUACCAUAGCCUAGCAUUUAACUACAAUCGAUGGCAAUAUGGUAGCAAGGUAAUGGCGAGGGUAAACUAGACUACCUGGGAUUUAUAGCUAGCAUAGAAGUACGAGUAAUAUUCCUGAUGCAUCUAAUGAAACAUCUAGUGCAUAGUAAAAAUAUUUAGGAGAAUGAUCAAAGUGAACUUGCCUUGCCCAAGGUUGUGGUAGUUCUCGCACUCUUCGCAACAACAAUGAUUACACUCCACACAAUCUAAAAUAAAAGGAACACACACAAUAAACACAACAUUCAAUACAAAGACCAUGCCAUGAUGCACAUGCUAUGCUGAUGCACACAAAGGUUACUUCUAACGUACAAAGUUUUGUUUCUGUUUUAAAAAGGCUCUCAAAAGAUUUGGACAGGUUAUACAACAUCAAAGUGGUAAUUAAUAUGCAAGAAACAUGGAUAGGCUUUUGUAACAUAGAGCAAUAUUUAACUUGCAUGCCAUGAUUAUACACAAAAUAAUUUCUUCUCUGGUCCUAAUGGAUAGAGAACAACUUUAAAUAAUUUUACAGCAAGAUAACAUGCUCAAAACUAUUUUGAAACAAUUCAUUUGAAAUUUGAACCAUAUUCAACCCUUCUGUAAAUAGCUACUGUCUAAGUUGUUCAAAACUGAAAAUAAACCGUGCCAAAAUAUUCUACACAUUACGACGAUUCCAGAAAGGUGCGGAACACAAAUUUUGGACAAACGGUUUGAAAGAUAUAAAGGUUUGAAGUUGUAGGGUCUUUUCUGCAAAAGUGCAUUAUCCACUUCGGCCGAAAAUAAAAUAAAAUAAAAUAAAUAAAUAAAAACCCUGCCACGUGGCAGCGCGGGACUGGCCGGUUUCUAGGGUUCCGGCCGGCGGCUAGCUCGCCGGCGGCGGCGCGGGGCGGCGCGGGCAGGGGCAGCGCGGGCAAGCAGCAGGGGCGGCGCGCGCACGGCGGCGGCGGGCGGCGCAGGGCCGCGGGUCGCGCGGGCUGCGCGGAGGCGGCGCGCGGGAGGAGCGGGGUGGCGCAGGCGGCUGCGCGGGCACGGACAGCGCGCGGAGGGCGGCGGGCGGCGCGGCGCACGGGCGCGGGCAGGGGUGCGGCCAGGCGGCGCGCGGACGGCGGCCAGCGCUGAGGAAGAUGACCGGCGCGGCGGCCGGAGGCGGCGGCGGCGGCCAAACGCCAAGGCGAGCGCGUCACGACGUUCGGGACGGGGAGAGGAGAGAGGCUAGGGGAGUGGCGCGGGAAGAACCUCACCGGAACGGCGGAGAAACGCGAAGAAUGGCGGUGGCAGCAACAAACUCCGGCGAGCAAUUACUUUCUAACCGGUGCGAAAUUGAACGUGGGGUUUGGGGGAAGUGGAGGAGAAAAGCGAGGCCUUCGGGGUGACGCGCAAGGAUUUGGAGAAAACGGCCUGAGCGCGGAGAAAUCGGAGGUGGAGUCAUGGGCAGUUCGCGGGCGUGCGUGGCCGGAUUUUUCGGACGGAGGUUGAAGAUGACGCGUGGGUCCCACCGGUCAGUGAGAGCGGGUGGCUCGGGCGGGCUGAGCCGGUCCGGUUCGGUUUUCCUCGGUUUUUCCUUUUCUUUUAUCUAUUUUCUGUUUUCGAACCUCAAAAUUGAUUCGGAGCUCCAAAUCACUCCAAAUAAAAUGCAACAAAAUUUGUAAAAUCAUAUUUUCAUAUGAUCUAACUUUUGGAGCAAGAAUUUUCUCAAAAUAAAAUAUUUAAAAAUAUAUUUGCAUAUAAAAUGGCUUUUAUGGCCCUUAGGCUAUCGAAUCAAAUUAUUUUUUUCAAAAUACUUUCAAAAGCCAAUUAUGGGAUAGCUUUAUAUAUGCAUUAAAUCCCUUUUUAUCACAAUACCCUCAUGGGUUAAAAAUGCAAAUAGUCAAGAGCAAGAUCAAAGCCCAAAAACAAAUAAAAGCAUUUUUGCAAAAGGGUUUUCUGGGAAAACUUUAGUGUUUUGAAAGUGUUCAGAUGCAAGGGUGACAUGAUGCUUAUGAUAUGCAAUGCAUAUGAAGAAUUUUGAAAAUUGGGAUGUUACAGUAAUAGGGUCCAGCCAAUUUUUAGAUGUUUUCGUUGUGUUUUAGGAGGAUUCCUAGGCCGUUUCGGAGUCCCUCAAGGGCCUGUCCGAAAACCACCUAGUUCCCCUCCUAUUUAUACCCCAUGAGCCCCCCCAUGGAGCCUGGGGUUUUGAUUAGAUAAAGUUUAGCCUUUGGUACUUUCGUGUAAUCGCGUGUGUCGGUUAGACCACCUGUUUUACCGUCAUCAAGACUCCAACUAUAUUGAAUAUUCAGAUUCGUGAACCUUCAUAUCUCCUAUUCGCAAUUUCAGAUUGCUUUUCAUCUUGUUCUUGAUUGUUCUUCGAUUGCUUGCAGGAACAAAGACCUUCGUGGUCAGGUUGAUCGUGCCCCCGCGGGAUCAAUAACCUUCUGGAGUUGGUGUAUCGAUCGCUAAGGCGCUGCCUCCUAGGUUGUAGUCGGAUCGUCAACGUCACCUCCUACCAAAUCGAUAAUUAGGUAUCUCAUCGAAAGAUCGGAACACACUCGAGGCUAUCACGUGGUAUCAGAGCUUAAGGUUGCUCGGUGAGAUUUUUCCAGUUUAUCCGUAGUUUAGAUCUGUUUUUACCUAUCGUCCAGAAAAAAACCAAACAAAAAUUAGAAUUAGUUACCUUGUCCUAGAACCAAUCUGAGCCUUGCAAUUUUCACAUUAGUAUUUGCAUUGUUGAAUCUUUGCUGCAUUAAUCGUGUCGAGUUGCUGGAUUAGAUUGGAUCGUUUUUCAGAUUUUUUCUACUAGAUCAAACUUGUUUUUGUCUUUUGAUUUCGUGUGACGCAGGCUUUCCAUCAAACUUCCGCCCCCAAACUUCCUGCCACGCCACCGCCAUAAUCUUCCGCCGCCACCAUAUCUUCCACCGAGUCCCUCUUCGAGUCCUGCACCGAGUAUUUCUUCGAGUCCUGCACCGAGUAUUUCUUCGAGUCCUGCACCGAGUAUUUCUUCGAGUCCUGCACCGAGUAUUUCUUCGAGUCCUACACCAAGUCCCUCGUCGAGUCCUACAUCGAGUCGGCAAGUUAUAGUUUUCAGCCGCGAGUUCGAGUCCGAGUCUAAUCAAGAGUGCUUUUGGAAAGUGUUUCAUAAUAGAUCGAAUUUUGUUUAGAGGUCAAGUUGUUCGGGAAGUUGUGAAAAAAAAAGAAAGGAAAAAAAAGGAAAGAAAGAAAAAAAAAAGCAAAAACAAAAGAGGAAGAGUUCGAGUCAGUUUCGGACCCGAGUCCAAGUAGAAUUAGAUUUUCGGGUGGGUUUGACCCGUGUUCACUAAAACGGCCGUAUCUUUUGCAUACGAAGUCAGAUUUGGACGUGCCAAGACUUUUCGGAAAGCUCUCGACGAGGCGGCGCAUCCUCUAAAAUUAACGGCUCCUUGACCCUCAAAUUCGGCCUCUAAGGUGGACUUUUCGUGCUACGAAGUUUCUGCACCCGUUUUUCGGCACCGGGGCAGUGCAGUAUAUCUCAGUUUUCUCCACCGUCCGACCUCUGUUUCGAGUGAUCUUGCACUUGUUGGAAAGCUUGUUUUGAUACGCUUCUGACCCAUAUUUUCUCAUAUUUUUCUGAGUUUUCCUUACUACAGCCUUUGCUAUUCUCCUACAGACCGACGUGCAGCUUUCCGGUCUUAACUUCUUUUGCGUGAGUUUCUGGGUUUAAAAAAAAAGAAAAAAAAAUAGAAAAGAAUAAGAAGCCAAACAGAAGGCCACAAAAAAGAAAAAAAAAGAGAAAAAGUAUUCCCCAGAGAUUUACUUGUUUUACCUUUCAUUUGAUCUUUCCUUUCUACCUUUUUCAGUAUCUAGGCUUAGUUAAUUUCUGUAAUUCGUUCUUCUCGACUCCAGCAGCUAGGACUCGCAUUUUUUAGCAUAUUUUCAACUUUGCAUUGCUGAUUUGAUUAUUCGCUUUUCCUUGCUACUCACAUAAGCCUCCAAGCUCCACAGAUUCUACACCUAGCUUGGUUUGCCUCGAGGCAUCGAUACAGUAAUCUUCGGAGGGCUUGUUCUCGCCGCUGGCCAUCACCUUUCUGGUUGCUGGGUAAGAACGAGUAAGAACUUGAUUAAAAGUUGAGUGGAGUGAUCUUUGGAACCCCACAUCCUAGUAGUGCAUAGGGACUUUUCCUUGUGAUUUUUUUUCUUGUUUUCUCCUAACGAUGGCAGGUUCUGACGAUGAUUUACAAGGCCACUAUCCACGCACAAAGGGCAUUAUUUCACAUUUUGAUCGCAAGCUUAGGCUUCGUAACGAGGAGCUGGAUGAGGACGUUCGGGUUGCGAAUGAGAGACUUGGAACCUUGGAGAGAGCGCACAUUGAAACAAAUACCAAGCUAACAUCUUUACAGAAUUCUGUUGCUACCAUUAGUACUUCUCUGGCAGAAAUCACGACGCAACUGGCGGCACUUGCUGCAACGACCAUCGCUACACCGGGAGGGAACAAUACACACAACCAGCGGACCGCUAAUAACGGUACCUUCGCAAGCGAGGUUGAGGAGAACGACGACGACUACUCCGCGGAUACGGAACACGACGGGGCCGUAAACCAUCACAACGACCGUGAUCAUCGCCAAACUCGUUUCAACCGCCGAGGUAUGGGACCGACACGAUUUCAAAGAGAGGAACAUGACUCGCUGCAUUCUAUUAAACUUAAGGUUCCUCCUUUUGAUGGAAAAUAUGACCCUGAUGCUUACCUUACAUGGGAAUUAGAAUUGAGUCAAAAAUUUACUUGCCAUGAUUUUCCUGCUAAUAAGAGGGUUAGGGCUGCUACUAGUGAGUUUACUGAUUUUGCUUUUGUUUGGUGGCAUGAGUAUUGUAUUGCACAUCCUAACGCUAUACCACCAACAUGGGAUGAUUUGAAAAGAAUUAUGCGCGCUAGAUAUGUUCCUUCAUACUAUUCGCGUGACUUGUUAAAGAAACUACAACAAUUAAGGCAAGGUAGUAAUUCUGUCCAAGAUUAUUAUCAAGAAAUGCAAAAGAACAUGUUACGUUGUGGUUUAGUUGAGAAUGAGGAAGCUGCUAUGGCUAGAUUCUUUGGUGGUUUAAAUCGUGAAAUUGCUGACAUUGUUGAUUAUAAGGAGUAUAAUUCUAUCAAUCGAUUGUUUCACAUUGCUUGCAAAGCUGAAAGGCAAGUGCAGGGACGACACGCGAACGCGCGGACUAACUUUUCUGCAGGUCGUACUUCCUCAUGGGCAGAACGCAGCCCCGCUGCCCCUUCCACACGCCCAGCUGCACCCCCUACACGUCCGGCUGUUUCGACUACUUCCACCAACAAGCAAAGUACCUCUACACCUACGUCCACAAAGGUUGGACCAGCAGCAACAAGAAAUACACCCGCUGCCUCUGCACAAAGUUCAGCAGCGUCCGUUGCUUCCACCGGAUGGACCGGAGAUAACCAAUGUCGUAGGUGCAAAGGAUACGGGCAUUUUCAGCGGGACUGUCCAACCAAACGCGUUAUGAUCAUACGUGAAGACGGAGUAUAUGAUUCAGCCAGUGAUUUUGACGAAGCUACCUAUGUUCUCUAAAGUUGAUUUACGUAGUGGUUACCACCAAAUUCGAAUGAAAUUAGGCGAUGAAUGGAAAACAGCAUUUAAAACUAAGUUUGGACUAUAUGAGUGGUUAGUCAUGCCUUUCGGUCUUACUAACGCACCUAGCACUUUCAUGCGGUUAAUGAACGAAGUUUUACGUGCUUUCAUAGGACGAUUUGUGGUGGUUUAUUUUGAUGAUAUAUUGAUUUACAGCAGCUCUUUAGAAGACCACUUGAAUCAUUUACGUGCUGUUUUUGAUGCUUUGAGAGAUGCACGUUUGUUUGGUAACCUUGAGAAGCGCACCUUUUGCACCGAUCGAGUUUCGUUUCUUGGCUAUGUUGUCACUCCACAGGGCAUAGAAGUUGAUAAGGCCAAGAUCGACGCUAUUCAAAGCUGGCCAACUCCAACGGUCACCUAAGUGAGGAGCUUUCUUGGACUCGCUGGGUUUUAUCGCCGCUUUGUAAAGGAUUUCAGCACCCUUGCUGCACCGCUUAAUGAGCUCACAAAGAAGGACGUUCCAUAUGUAUGGGGCGCUGCACAAGAAGAAGCUUUUCUCAUAUUGAAAGAUAAGUUGACACAUGCUCCUUUACUCCAACUUCCUGAUUUUAAUAAGACUUUUGAGUGGGCCUAGUCUGAAUGAUAAGGAAUUAUAUGCUCUCGUUCGAACUUUAGAAACAUGGCAACAUUAUUUAUGGCCCAAAGAAUUUGUUAUACAUUAUGAUCAUCAAUCUUUGAAGCAUAUUCGUAGUCAAGCAAAGCUGAACCGUCGUCAUGCUAAAUGGGUUGAAUUUAUUGAGUCUUUUCCGUAUGUUAUUAAACAUAAGAAGGGUAAAGAUAAUGUUAUUGCUGAUGCGUUAUCACGUCGUUAUACCUUGUUAUCUCAGCUUGAUUUUCGGAUCUUUGGAUUGGAGACUAUAAAAGAACAAUAAGAACAUGAUGCAGAUUUUAAGGAUGUUUUGCAGCAUUGUAAAGAGGGCAGAACAUGGAACAAGUUCGUCAUUAAUGAUGGAUUUGUGUUCCGUCCUAACAAGCUAUGCAUCCCAGAUAGCUCGAUGAGUAUCUUUGUUUGGUGUGCUCGUUGUAGUACCCGAAAUGGACCUAAGUCAGAGUAGAAGUUUAGCACCGACUCCGAUCUGGCCGAAUUGUCCGUCCUAGUGAGGGACCAUGCCUAGCGAGUCCGUACAAGUGGUCCUGUCUUGUUUCGCUUCGAUGAGUAGAUUUGUUUGGUUUGCUCGUCCUAGUACCUCAUGCGGGCAAGUUCCGGAUCAAAGUUUAGCACCGAGUCCGAUUUGGCCGAAUUGUCCGCCCUAGUGAGGGACCAUGCCUAUCUAGUCCGUACAAGUGGUCUAAUCUUGUUUUGCUUCGAUGAGUAGCUUUGUUUGGUGUGCUCAUCUUAUAACGCCAAACCGAACCGUUCCGGAUCAAAGUUUAGCACCGACUCCGAAUUGCCGAAUUGUCCGCCCUAAUGCGGGACCAUGCCUAGCGAGUCCGUGCAAGUGGUCUAGUCUUCUUUCGCUUCGAUGAGUAUCUUUGUUUCGUGUGCUCAUUCUAGUUCCUGAAAUGGGCCUAAGUCAGAGUAGAAGUUUAGCACCGACUCCGAUCUGGCCGAAUCUUCCAUCGUAGUGAGGGACCAUGCCUAGCGAGUCCGUACAAGUGGUCUAGUCUUGUUUCGCUUCGAUGAGUAUCUUUCUUCGGUUUGCUCACCCAAGUACCUCAAACGGGCAUGUUCCGGAUCAAAGUUUAGCACUGACUACGAUUUGGCCGAAUUAUCCGUCCUUGUGAGGGACCAUGCCUAGCGAGUCCGUAAAAGUGGUCUAGUCUUAUUUCGCUUCGAUGAGUAGCUUUGCUUGGUGUGCUCAUCCUAGUACCCUAAAUGGACCCGUCUCCGAUUAGAAGUUUAGCACCGACUCCGAUCUGGCUGAAUUGUCCGUCCUAGUGAGGGAGCAUGCCUAGCGAGUCUGAUAGGGGUGCGGGUGGCCCGAUCUUUCGAUGAGAUUGAUAACUCGCGAUUUGUGUAAGAGGUGACGUUGACGAUCCGACUACGGCCUAAGAGGCAGCGCCUUAGCAAUCGAUACAAGAUAUGGGUCCGGGUGGCCCGAUCUUUCGAUGAGAUUGGUAACUCUCGAUUUGGGUAGGAGGUGACGUUGACGAUCCGACUACGGCCUAGGAGGCAGCGCCUUAGCAAUCGAUACACCAACUCCAGAGGGUUAUUGAUCACGCGGGGGCACGAUCAACCUGACCACGAAGGUCUUUGUUCCUGCAAGCAAUCGAAGAACAAGCAAGAACAAGAUAAAUAGCGGAUGCAAUCUAAAAUUGCGAAUAUACUAUAUCAAACAAAUGUCUCAACGAGACGAUAAGUUGGAGUCUUGACGACGGUAAAACAUGUGAUCUAACCGACACACGCGAUUACACGAAAGUAGCAAAGAUGGCUAAAGUUUAUCUAAUCAAAACCCAAGGCUCCUUAGGGGGCUCAUGGGGUAUAUAAAGGAGGAGGGAGAGAUAUUUUCGUCCACCUUGAGUAAGGAGGCCGAAAUCCAACUCUAUCUCUAAGUUUCGUAACAAACUACAACUCUUUAGGAAACAGAAAAACAGAUCCGUCAGCUUGUUUUGUCCGUCACGGUCAGCACGAGUCGAAUCUUUUGAUGGGGCCAGAUCCGUUGGAAAGGUCUUGUAAUUACCUUUCCAACAAGUACUUGUUUGCUUGAUUUGGACUCCGGAUGCGGCCUGGGUGAUUAAAACAAAUUCGGGUCUCCUGGCAGCUCGGACCCGAAUCGGAUUCAACUUUUAUUCGUGAUAUCUUUCUCUAGCAAGUUCCGAAUCAUGUGCCGUUUGAUUUGUUGGAACGGACACUUGAAGUCCUUCCCUCUCAGCUGUAUGAAUGCUUGAUUCUUGUUGGGCCUCCCGUUCGCCUCCAUCGUAUCUCAUCUUGACCUUGAACUUGAAAGGCUCGACAAGAUGCCUACGUAAUAAAACGAGACAAGAUAGUAGUAGCUCCGCCUCUUCAUAAAUAUGAAAAUGAAAACAAUUACUACCUGAAUUCACCUGAUUAUAAAUCUUGUCAAAUAUUAUAAAAUUGAGGGUACCAAAGGUCGUAUCCAUGGUUAGCAUGUCCAUAUCAAUACACCAACUCCAGAGGGUUAUUGAUCACGCGGGGGCACGAUCAACCUGACCACGAAGGUCUUUGUUCCUGCAAGCAAUCGAAGAACAAGUAAGAACAAGAUAAAUAGCGGAUGCAAUCUGAAAUUGCGAAUAUACUAUAUCAAACCAAUGUCUGAACGAGACGAUAAGUUGGAGUCUUGACGACGGUAAAACAGGUGGUGUAACCGACACACGCGAUUACACGAAAGUAGCAAAGAUGGCUAAACUUUAUCUAAUCAAAACCCAAGGCUCCAUAGGGGGGCUCAUGGGGUAUAAAUAGGAGGAGGGAGAGAUAUUUUCAUCCACCUUCAGUAAGGAGGCCGAAAUCCAACUCUAUCUCUAACUUCCCUAACAAACUACAACUCUUUAGGAAACAGAAAAACAGAUCCGUCAGCUUGUUUUGUCCGCCACGGUCAGCACGAGUCGAAUCUAUUGAUGGGGCCAGAUCCGUUGGAAAGGUCUUGUAAUCACCUUUCCAACAAGUACUUGUUUGCUUGAUUUGAACUCCAGAUGCGACCUGAGUGAUUAAAACAAAUUCGGGUCUCCUGGCAGCUCGGACCCGAAUCGGAUUCAACUUUAAUUCGUGAUAUCUUUCUCUAGCAAGCUCCGAAUCAUGUGCCGUUUGAUUUGUUGGAACGUACACUUGAAGUCCUUCCCUCUCAGCUGUAUGAAUGCUUGAUUCUUGUUGGGCCUCCCGUUCGCCUCCAUCGUAUCUCAUCUUGACCUUGGACUUGAAAGGCUCGACAAGAUGCCUACGUAAUAAAACGAGACAAGAUAGUAGUAGCUCCGCCUCUUCAUAAAUAUGAAAAUGAAAACAAUUAUUACCUGAAUUCACCUGAUUAUAAAUCUUGUCAAAUAUUAUAAAAUUGAGGGUACCAAAGGUCGUAUCCAUGGUUAGCAUGUCCAUAUCAAUACACCAACUCCAGAGGGUUAUUGAUCACGCGGGGGCACGAUCAACCUGACCACGAAGGUCUUUGUUCCUGCAAGCAAUCGAAGAACAAGUAAGAACAAGAUAAAUAGCGGAUGCAAUCUGAAAUUGCGAAUAUACUAUAUCAAACCAAUGUCUGAACGAGACGAUAAGUUGGAGUCUUGACGACGGUAAAACAGGUGGUGUAACCGACACACGCGAUUACACGAAAGUAGCAAAGAUGGCUAAACUUUAUCUAAUCAAAACCCAAGGCUCCAUAGGGGGGCUCAUGGGGUAUAAAUAGGAGGAGGGAGAGAUAUUUUCAUCCACCUUGAGUAAGGAGGCCGAAAUCCAACUCUAUCUCUAACUUCCCUAACAAACUACAACUCUUUAGGAAACAGAAAAACAGAUCCGUCAGCUUGUUUUGUCCGCCACGGUCAGCACGAGUCGAAUCUAUUGAUGGGGCCAGAUCCGUUGGAAAGGUCUUGUAAUGACCUUUCCAACAAGUACUUGUUUGCUUGAUUUGGACUCCGGAUGCGGCCUGGGUGAUUAAAACAAAUUCGGGUCUCCUGACAGCUCGGACCCGAAUCGGAUUCAACUUUAAUUCGUGAUAUCUUUCUCUAGCAAACUCCGAAUCAUAUGCCGUUUGAUUUGUUGGAAAGUACACUUGAAAUCCUUCCCUCUCAGCUGUAUGAAUGCUUGAUUCUUGUUGGCCCUCCCAUUCGCCUCCAUCGUAUCUCAUCUUGACCUUGGACUUGAAAGGCUCGACAAGAUGCCUACGUAAUAAAACGAGACAAGAUAGUAGUAGCUCCGCCUCUUCAUAAAUAUGACAAUCAAAAAAAUUACUACUUGAAUUCACCUGAUUAUAAAUCUUGUCAAAUAUUAUAGAAUUGAGGGUACCAAAGGUCGUAUCCAUGGUUAGCAUGUCCAUAUCAUCCUCCCUUUCUUGAAAGGAAAGCCGUCCUCGGCGUCGUUUGUGCUGUAAAGAGACUGACAAAAUAGACAAAGUGUGUGCAUGGUAUAUGUAUAUGUCAUCCAUCUUUAUACAUCUCCUUUCUUGCACAAUUAAUCUUUUAUAACAAAGUCUCAUGAGAUAAUUAGUAAAACAAUCAUGAUGAAUAACAUUCCAGCAAGAAGAUUGACAAUAUUGUUUGCAUUUAUAAGCGAAACGAUUUCUUGUAUUUUGUUUGCACCGCUCACCAUUACACCAUCCCAACAUUGCAGAAUGAUAAUGAAUAGUAUCCAAAUUAGUUACUACAAUAUGCUGAAAUUUAGAGCAAGCCAAAGCACUAAUAUUCAAACAAGCAUGUAAAUAACUAUUUGGCAAAUAAUCAACACCUAUAUUGGAGGCCCUAUCAGAAUGAUUAAGCAUGUGCAAAAAUUUCUUUUCUCCCAAGAGAGGAAAAUUAUCACAAGUAAUGCACAUCUUAUGCACCAAAAUGUUAUUGUUCACAUCAUGUUGUCCAUAUAAAUGAAUUGUGUAUCCAUGAACAGCAAAAGAUUUCGAAAUUGUUAACUCACACAGUUUAUCCAUUGCAUGCGACAAAUACAUGGGACUAUCAAGUGCAAUAUAACACAAAGAAUUAAUAUAUGGAUCGUUCUCAAUCACUCCAUGUGUAAUUAAGCCGACACAACCUAAACCAAAUUUAUCUACAUCAGAUGUUUCUCCCAAAACAUUAGUUAUUUCCUCACAUGAUUCAUUCUCAUCAAUAUCAAAAUUAAUUUCAGCAGUAGGUGCACUCAAAUCAGCAUGUAAAUCAACAAUUUCACAUGGUGCAGAAAAUUCAACGGGUAUCUCAUUUAUUUCAUCACAUGUCAUAUUUUGUUCAGCAACACAAUCAUCUUUAUCAUUACCUUGUAGGCUCAACACGUUUCUUGUACACCUUCUCUCCAAUUUCCUCUCCGCUUCACGAGCAAGAUUAAGCAAACACAAUAGAGAGUCGUAUUUUCCGUAUUCAAUUAUGUAAGAAAUAUCAAAGUUAAUCCCACAAUAAAACCUAUCCAUUUUUUUUGUUCGGUUUCAUCUAAACCAGAUCGCAAGGUUAAAAUUUGGAACUCAUGGUAGUAAUCAUCAACAGUUUUAUCAUCUUGCGUCAAACGUCGUAAUUUGGAACGCAACUCAUAAGCAUAACUUGGAGGAACAUAUUUUUCUCUCAUGAUUUUCUUCAUAUCAAUCCAAGUGUGAGGUCUUUUGUUUUCUCUAACUAUCUCACACCACCAUGAUAAUGCAUCAAAACGAAAUUUACUACUAGCAAUUUGGACCUUACGACUAUCUAGUACAUGGAAGCAUGUGAAUUGUUCAGUUAAAGCUAGCUCCCAAUCUAUAUAUGUUUCAGCAUCAUUUUCCCCCUCAAAGAAAGGUACACACAAUUUAAUUGUAUUAGAAGGAUUGUUUUGUACCGUUGCCGUGGCAUUAUCAACAAGAGACGUGAAGGAUGGCCGUGGUGACAAGCACUCAUCGCGGUCACGGGAUAGCAUCGGGCUAGUUGCCAUGCUUCGUGUAAGUCCUGUCAUGGUUAGUAGAAAACAAGAAAUAAAUCACAGUAAUAUGUUCCUAUCAACUACUAGGAUGUGGCUACAAGUCGCUCAACUCUCAAGCUAAAAAUCAAGUUCUUACAAGUUCUUACCAUGCAAAACAGGAAGGUGAUGGCUUUGUCCGUCACCUUUCCUAACAAACUAUCUCUAACUUUCCUAACAAACUACAACUCUUUAGGAAACAGAAAAACAGAUCUGUCAGCUUGUUUUGUCCGUCACGGUCAGCACGAGUCGAAUAUCUUGAUGGGGCCAGAUCCCUUGGAAAGGUCUUGUAAUUACCUCUCCAACAAGUACUUGUUUGCUUGAUUGGACUCCGGAUGCGGCCUGGGUGAUUAAAACACAUUCGGGUCUCCUGGCAGCUCGGACCAGAAUCGGAUUCAACUUUAAUUCGUGAUAUCUUUCUCUAGCAAUCUCCGAAUCAUGUGCCGUUUGAUUUGUUGGAAAGUACACUUGAAAUCCUUCCCUCUCAGCUGUAUGAAUGCUUGAUUCUUGUUGUGCCUCCCGUUCGCCUCCAUCGUAUCUCAUCUUGACCUUGGACUUGAAAGGCUCGACAAGAUGCCUACGUAAUAAAACGAGACAAGAUAGUAGUAGCUCCGCCUCUUCAUAAAUAUGACAAUGAAAACAAUUACUACUUGAAUUCACCUGAUUAUAAAUCUUGUCAAAUAUUAUAGAAUUGAGGGUACCAAAGGUCGUAUCCAUGGUUAGCAUGUCCAUAUCAGAGUCCGUACAAGUGGUAUAGUCUUGUUUCGCUUCGAUGAGUAGAUUUGUUUGGUUUGCUCAUCCUAGUACCUCAAACGGGCCCGUUCCGGAUCAAAGUUUAGCAGGGACUACGAUGUGGCCGAAUUGUCCGCCCUAGUGAGGGACCAUGCCUAGCUAGUCCGUACAAUGCUCCAAUCUUGUUUCGCUUCGAUGAGUAGCUUUGCUUGGUGUGCUCAUCGUAGUACUCGAAAUGGCCCCGACUCCGAUUAGAAGUUUAGCACCGACUCCGAUCUGGCCGAAUUGUCCGUCCUAGUGAGGGACCAUGCCUAGCGAGUCCGUACAACUGGUUUAGCCUUGUUUCGCUUUGAUGAGUAGAUUUGUUUGGUUUACUCACCCUAGUACCUCAAACGGGCCGUUCCGGUUCAAAGUUUAGCACCGACUCCGAUUUACCGAAUUGUCCGCCCUAGUGAGGGACCAUUCCUAGUCAGUCUGUACAAGUGGUCUAGUCUUCUUUCGCUUCGAUGAGUAUCUUUGUUUGGUGUGCUCGUUGUAGUACCCGAAAUGGACCUAAGUCAGAGUAGAAGUUUAGCACCGACUCCGAUCUAGCCGAAUUGUCCGUCCUAGUGAGGGACCAUGCCUAGCGAGUCCGUACAAGUGGUCUAGUCUUGUUUCGCUUCGAUGACUAGAUUUGUUUGGUUUGCUCAUCCUAGUACCUCAAACGGGCCGUUCCGGAUCAAAGUUUAGCACGGACUCCGAUUUGGCCGAAUUGUCCGCCCUAGUGAGGGACCAUGCCUAUCUAGUCCGUACAAAAUCUUGUUUUGCUCCGAUGAGUAGCGUUGUUUGGUGUGCUCACCUUAUAACGCCAAACCGAACCGUUCCGGAUCAAAGUUUAGCACCGACUCCGAUUUGCCGAAUUGUCCGCCCUAAUGCGAGACCAUGCCUAGCGAGUCCGUGCAAGUGGUCUAGUCUUCUUUCGCUUCGAUGAGUAUCUUUGUUUCGUGUGCUCAUUCUAGUACCCGAAAUGGGCCUAAGUCAGAGUGGAAGUUUAGCACCGAAUCCGAUCUGGCCGAAUUGUCCGUCCUAGUGAGGGACCAUGCCUAGCGAGUCCGUACAAGUGGUCUAGUCUUGUUUCACGUCGAUGAGUGUCUUUCUUUGGUUUGCUCACCCUAGUACCUCAAACGGACCUGUUCCCGAUCAAAGUUUAGCACCGACUCCGAUUUGCCGAAUUGUCCGCCCUAGUGAGGGACCAUGCCUAGCUAGUGUGUACAAGUUGUCUAGUCUUGUUUCGCUUCGAUGAGUAGAUUUGUUUGGUUUGCUCAUCCUAGUACCUCAUACGGGCAAGUUCCGCACCAAAGUUUAGCACGGACUCCGAUUUGGCCGAAUUGUCCGCCCUAGUGAGGGACCAUGCCAAUUAGUCCGUACAAUGGUCCAAUCUUGUUUCGCUUCGAUGAGUAGCUUUGCUUGGUGUGCUCAUCCUAGUACUCGAAAUGGACCCGACUCCAAUUAGAAGUUUAGCACUGACUCCGAUCUGGCCGAAUUGUCCGUCGUAGUGAGGGACCAUGCCUAGCGAGUCCGUACAAGUGGUUUAGUCUUGUUUCGCUUUGAUGAGUAGAUUUGUUUGGUUUGCUCAUCCUAGUACCUCAAACGGGCCCGUUCCGGAUCAAAGUUUAGCACAGACUCCGAUUUGGCCGAAUUGUCCGCCCUAGUGAGGGACCAUGCAUAUCUACUGCGCACAAGUGGUCUAAUCUCAAUAUGGACACGCUAACCAUGGAUACGACCAUUAGAACCAUAAUCGGACGUGUAUCUAAUAAAAAUUAUAAUCAGGUGAAUUCAAUUACAAAAUGUUUUCAAUAUGUUACUUGCAAUGAGGCGGAGCUACUAUCUUGUGUUAUCUUAUUAUGUAGGUAUCUUAUUGAACUUUUCAAGUCCAAAGUGAAGAUGAAGUGUGAUAGCCUGCAAAGGGAGAUUCAAAGUGAAGCCUAUCAAGUCUACUUUCCAACAAAUCAAACGGCACAUGAUUCGGAGCUUGCUAGAGAAAGAUAUCACGAAUUAAAGUUGAAUCCGAUUCGGGUCCGAGCUGUCAGGAGACCCGAAUUUGUUUUAAUCACCCAGGCCGCAUCCGGAGUCCAAAUCAAGCAAACAAGUACUUGUUGAAAAGUUAAUUACAAGACCUUUCCAACAGAUCUGGCCCCAUCAAGAGAUUCGACUCGUGCUGACCGUGGCGAAGAAAACAAGCUGACAGAUCUGUUUUUCUGUUUCCUGAAGAGUUGUAGUUUGUUAGAGAUAGAGUUGGAUUUCGGUCUACUUACUCAAGGUGGACGAAAAUAUCUCUCCCUCCUCCUUUGUAUACCCCAUGAGCCCCCCUAAGGAGCCUUGGGUUUUGUUUAGUUAAAAGUUAGCCAUCGCUACUACUUCGUGUAAUCGCGUGUGUCGGUUAGACCACCUGUUUUACCGCUUUCGGAACCCCAACUUAUCGUCUCGUUGAGACAUUGUUUUGAUAUAGUAUAUUCGCAAUUUUAGAUUGCAUCCGCUAUUUAUCUUGUUCUUCUUGUUCUUCGAUUGCUUGCUGGAACAAAGACCUUCAUGGUCAAGUUGAUCGUGCCCCCGCGUGAUCAAUAACCCUCUGGAGUUGGUGUAUCGAUUGCUAAGGCGUUGCCUCGUAGGCCGUAGCCGGAUCGUCAACGUCACGUCCUACCCAAAUCGAGAGUUAUCAAUCUCAUCGAAAGAUCGGGCCACCCCGACCCAUAUCACGUGGUAUCAGAGGUUAAGGUUGCUCGGUGAGAUUUUUCCAGUUUAUCCGUAGUUUAGAUCUGUUUUUACCUAUCGUCCAGAAAAAGCCAAACAAAAAUUAGAGUUAGUUACCUUGUCCUAGAGCCAAUCUGAGCCUUGCAAUUUUCACAUUAGUAUUUGCAUUGUUGAAUCUUUGCUGAAUUAAUCGUGUCGAGUUGCUGGAUUAGAUUGGAUCGUUUUUCAGAUUUUUUCUACUAGAUCAAACUUGCUUUUGGUUUUCUUGUUCUUCGUGUGACGCAGGUUUCCUUCAUCAAUCUUCCGCCGACAAACUUCCUGCCACACCCCCACCCACAUCACGUGGUAUCAGAGCCAGGUCCUAGUAGUUGAUAGGAACAUAUUACUGUGAUUUGUUUCUUGUUUUCUACUAACCAUGACAGGACUUACACGAAGCAUGGCAACUAGACCGAUGCUAUCCCGUGACCGUGAUGAGAGCUUUUCACCACGGCCAUCCUCCACGUCUCUUGUUGACAAUGCCACGGCAACGGUACAAAACAAUCCUUCUAAUACAAUUAAAUUGUGCGUACUCUUUGAGGGGGAAAAUGAUGCUGAAACGUAUAUAGAUUGGGAGCUAGCUUUAACUUAACAAUUCACAUGCUUCCAUGUACUUGAUAGUCGCAAGGUUCAAAUUGCUAUUAGUAAAUUUACUUUUGCUGCUUUAUCUUGGUGGAAUGAGAUAGUUAGAGAAAAGAAAAUUCCCCACACUUGGGUUGAUAUGAAGAAAAUCAUGAGAGAAAAAUAUGUCCCUUUUAGUUAUGGUUUUAACUUGCGUUCAAAAUUACGACGUUUGGCACAAGAUGAUAAAACCGUUGAUGACUACUACAAUGAGUUCCAAAUUAUAACCUUGCGAUUUGGUUUAGAUGAAACCGAACAAAAAAAAAUGGAUAGGUUUUAUUGUGGGCUUAACUUUGAUAUUUCUUACAUGAUUGAAUAUGGAAAAUACGACUCUCUUUUGUGUUUGCUUAAUCUUGCUCGUAAAGUUGAGAGGAAAUUACAGCGAGGGUCUACUACAAAUGAGUCGAACCCACAAGGUAAUGAUACAGAGGAUUGUGUUGCUGAACUAAAAAGGGCAUGUGAUGAAAUAAAUGUGAUACCUAUUGAAUUUUCUGCACCAUGUGAAAUUAUUGUCGUACAUGGUGAUUCAAGUGCACCAACUGCUGAAAUUAAUUCUUCUAAUGAUUUGAGUGCACAAAUUAAUUUUGAUAUUGAUGAGAAUGAAUCAUGUGAGGAAAUAACUAAUGUUUUGGGAGAAACAAGUGAGAUAGAUAAAUUUGAUUUAGGUUGUGUCGAGUUGAUUAGACAUGAAGUGAUUGAUAAGGAUCCACCUAUUAAUUCUUUGUGUUAUAUUACACUUGAUACACCUAUGUAUUUGUCACAUGCAAUGGAUAAAGUUUCUAAAUUAACAAUUUCCAAAUCUUUUGCUAAUGCUCAUGGAUACGCUAUUCAUUUAAUUGGAGAACAUGAUGUGACCAAUAACUUUUUUGUGGAUGAAAUUUGCAUUACUUGUGAUAAUUUUCCUUUCUUGUACACGAUUGUUUGAAUAUUAGUGCUUGGACAUGCUCUAAAUUUCAGCAUCUUUUAGAAACUAAUUUGGGUACCAUUAAUUAUUAUUCUCCAGUGUUGGGAUGGUAUAAUGGUGAACGGUGAGCGGUGCAAACCAAAUACAAGAUAUUGUUUCACUUAUAUACGCAAAACGUAUUGUCAAUCUUCUUGCUGGAAUGAUAUUCAUGAUGAUUGUUUGACUAAUUAUCUCAUGAGAUUGUGUUAUAAAACAUUAAUUGUGCAACAUGGGAGUGGAGUUAAAAAUAACGAUAUAUACAUAUACCAUGCGCAUAUCUUGUCUCUUUUGUUAGCAUAUUUUCAGCAUAAACGACGCCGAGGACGGCUUUCCUUUCAAGAAAGGGAGGAUGAUAUGGACAUGAUCACCAUGGAUACGACCAUUAGAACCCUAAUUGUUGGUGUAUCUAAUAACAAUUAUAAUCAGGUGAAUUCAAUUACAAAAUGUUUUCAAUAUGUUACUUGCAAUGAGGCGGAGCUACUAUCUUGUGUAAUCUUAUUAUGUAGGCAUCUUAUUGAACUUUACAAGUCCAAAGUGAAGAUGAAGUGUUAUAGCCUGCAAAGGGAGAUUCAAAGUGAAGCCUAUCAAGUCUACUUUCCAACAAAUCAAACGGCACAUGAUUCGGAGCUUGCUAGAGAAAGAUAUCACGAAUUAAAGUUGAAUCCGAUUCGGGUCCGAGCUGUCAGGAGACCCGAAUUUGUUUUAAUCACCCAGGCCGCAUCCGGAGUCCAAAUCAAGCAAACAAGUACUUGUUGGAAAGUUAAUUACAAAAAACUUUCCAACGGAUCUGGCCCCAUCAAGAGAUUCGACUCGUGCUGAGCGUGGCGGACAAAACAAGCUGACGAAUCUGUUUUUCUGUUUCCUAAAGAGUUGUAGUUUGUUAGGAAAGUUAGAGAUAGAGUUGGAUUUCGGCCUCCUUACGCAAGGUGGACGAAAAUAUCUCUCCCUCCUCCUUUAUAUACCCCAAGACCCCCCAAGGAGCCUUGGGUUUUGAUUAGAUAAAGUUUAGCCAUCUUUGCUACUUUCGUGUAAUCGCGUGUGUCGGUUAGACCACCUGUUUUACCGUCGUCAAGACUCCAACUUAUCAUCUCGUUGAGACAUUGGUUUGAUAUAGUAUAUUAGCAAUUUGAGAUUGCAUCCGCUAUUUAUCUUGUUCUUGCUUGUUCUUCGACUGCUUGCAGGAACAAAGACCUUCGUGGUCAGGUUGAUCGUGCCCCCGCGUGAUCAAUAACCCUAUGGAGUUGGUGUAUCGAUUGCUAAGACGCUGCUUCCUAGGCCGUAGUCGCAUCGUCAACGUCACCUCCUACCCAAAUGGAGAGUUAUCAAUCUCAUCAAAAGAUCGGGCCACCCCGACCCACAUCAACUAAGGGACCAUGCCUAGGUUGUCCGUACAAUGGUCCAAUGUUGUUUCGUUUCGGUGAGUAGCUUUGCUUGGUGUGCUCAUCCUAGUACCCGAAAUGGACCCGACUCCGAUUAGAAGUUUAGCACCGACUCCGAUCUGGCCGAAUGGUCCGUCCUAGUGAGGGACGAUGCCUAGCGAGUCCCUACAAGUGGUCUAGUCCUGCUUCGCUUCGAUGAGUAGCUUUGCUUAGUGUGCUCAUCCUAGUACCCGAAAUGGACCCGACUCCGAUUAGAAGUUUAGCACCGACUCCGAUCUGGCUGAAUUGUCCGUCCUAGUGAGGGACCAUGCCUAGCGGGUCCGUACAAGUGGUCUAGUCUUAUUUCGCUUCGAUGAGUAGCUUUGCUUUGUGUGCUCAUCCUAGUACCCUAAAUGGACCCGACUCCGAUUAGAAGUUUAGCACCGACUCCGAUCUGGCUGAAUUGUCCGUCCUAGUGAGGGAGCAUGCCUAGCGAGUCCAUACAAGUGGUAUAGUCUUGUUUCGCUUCGAUGAGUAGAUUUGUUUGGUUUGCUCCUCCUAGUACGUCAAACGGGCCCGUUCCAGAUCAAAGUUUAGCACGGACUCCGAUGUGGCUGAAUUUUCCGCCCUAGUAGGGGAACAUGCCUAGCGAGUCCCUACAAGUGGUCUAGUCUUGUUUUGCUUCGAUGAGUAGCUUUGUUUGGUGUGCUCGUCCUAAUACCUUAAAUGGACACAUUCCGGAUCAAAGUUUAGCACCGACUUUGAUUUGGCUGGAUUGUCCGUUCUAGUUAGAGGCCAUGGCUAGCGAGUCCCUACAAGUGGUCUAGACUUGUUUCCCUUUGAUGAGUAGCUUUGUUUUGUGUUCUCAUCUUAUAACGUCAAAAGGACCCGUUCCGGAUCAAAGUUUAGCAAAGACUCUGAUUUGGCUGAAUUUUCCGUCCUAGUGAGGAAACAUGUCUAGCGAGUCCCUACAAGUGGUCUAGUCUUGUUUCGCUUCGAUUAGUAGCUUUGUUCGUUGUGCUCAUCCUAAUAACUUAAAUGGACACGUUACGGAUCAAAGUUUAGCACCGACUUCGAUUUGGCUGGAUUGUCCGCCCCAGUGAGAGGCCAUGGCUGAUAUGGGUCGUGGUGGCCCGAUCUUUCGAUGAGAUUGGUAACUCUCGAUUUGGGUUGGAGGUGACGUUGACGAUCCGACUAUGGCCUAGGAGGCAGCGCCUUAGCAAUCGAUACACCAACUCCAGAGGGUUAUUGAUCACGCGGGGGCACGAUCAACCUGACCACGAAGGUCUUUGUUCCUGCAAGCAAUCGAAGAACAAGCAAGAACAAGAUAAAUAGCGGAUGCAAUCUAAAAUUGCGAAUAUACUAUAUCAAACCAAUGUCCCAACGAGACGAUAAGUUGGAGUCUUGACGACGGUAAAACAGGUGGUCUAACCGACACACGCGAUUACACGAAAGUAGCAAAGAUGGCUAAACUUUAUCUAAUCAAAACCCAAGGCUCCUUAGGGGGGGCUCAUGGGGUAUAUAAAGGAGGAGGGAGAGAUAUUUUCGUCCACCUUGAGUAAGGAGGCCGAAAUCCAACUCUAUCUCUAACUUUCCUAACAAACUACAACUCUUUAGGAAACAGAAAAACAGAUCCGUCAGCUUGUUUUGUCCAUCACGGUCAGCACGAGUCGAAUCUCUUGAUGUGGCCAGAUCCGUUGGAAAGGUCUUGUAAUUACCUUUUGAACAAGUACUUGUUUGCUUGAUUUGGACUCCGGAUGCUGCCUGGGUGAUUAAAACAAAUUCGGGUCUCCUGGCAGCUCGGACCCGAAUCGGAUUCAACUUUAAUUCGUGAUAUCUUUCUCUAGCAAGCUCCGAAUCAUGUGCCGUUUGAUUUGUGUGAAAAUACACUUGAAAUCCUUCCCUCUCAGCUGUAUGAAUGCUUGAUUCUUGUUGUGCCUCCCGUUCGCCUCCAUCAUAUCUCAUCUUGACCUUGGAUUUGAAAAGCUCGACAAGAUGCCUACGUAAUAAAACGAGACAAGAUAGUAGUAGCUCCGCCUCUUCAUAAAUAUGACAAUGAAAACAAUUACUACUUAAAUUCACCUGAUUAUAAAUCUUGUCAAAUAUUAUAGAAUUGAGGGUAUCAAAGGUCGUAUCCAUGGUUAGCAUGUCCAUAUCAAUGGCUAGCGAGUCCCUACAAGUGGUCUAGACUUGUUUCCCUUUAAUGAGUAGCUUUGUUUGGUGUGCUCAUCUUAUUACGUCAAAAGGACCCGUUCCGGAUAAAAGUUUAGCACCGACUCCGAUUUGGCUGAAAUUUCUGUCCUAGUGAGGGAAAAUAACUAGCGAGUCCCUACAAGUGGUGUAGUCUUGUUUCGCUUCGAUGAGUAACUUUGUUUGGUGGGCUCAUCCCAGUACCUCAAAUGGACCCGUUCUGGAUCAAAGUUUAGCACCGACUCCGAUUUGCCGCAUUGUCCGCCCCAGUGAGGGACCAUGCCUAGCGAGUGCCUACAAGCGGUCUACUCUUGUAUCGCUUCGAUGAGUAGCUUUUUUUGGUGGGCUCAUCCUAGUAUCUCAAAUGGACACGUUCUGGAUCAAAGUUUAGCACUGACUCUGAUUUGGCCGCAUUGUCCGCACCAGUGAGGGACCAUGCCUAGCGAGUCCCUACGAGCGGUCUACUGUUGUAUCGCUUCGAUGAGUAGCUUUGUUUGGUUGGCUCAUCCUAGUAUCUCAAAUGGACACGUUCUGGAUCAAAGUUUAGCACCGACUCCGAUUUCGCCGAACUGUCCCUCAUACUGAGUGACCAUGCCUAGCGAGUCCGUACCAGUGGUCUAGUUUUGAUUCGCUUAGAUGAGUAGUUUUUUUUGGUGUGAUCAUCCUAGUACCUCAAAUGGACAUGUUCCGGAUAAAAGUUUAGCACCGACUCCGAUUUGGCCGAAUUGUACGUCUUAGUGAAGGACCAAGCCUAGCGAGUCCCUACAAGUGGUCUAGUCUUGUUUCGUUUCGAUGAGUAGCUUUGUUUGGUGGGCUAAUCCCACUACCUCAAAUGGACACGUUCUGGAUCAAAGUUUAGCACCGUCUACGAUUUGGCCGCAUUGUCCGCCCCAAUGAGGGACCAUGCCUAGCGAGUCCCUAAAAGUGGUCUACCUUGUAUCGCUUCGAUGAGUAGCUUUGUUUGGUGGGCUCAUCCUAGUAUCUCAAAUGGACACGUUCUGGAUCAAAGUUUAGCACAGACUCCGAUUUGGCCGAACUGUCCGUCCUACUGAGGGACCAUGCCUAGCGAGUCCGUACCAGUGGUCUAGUUUUGAAUCCCUUAUGUGAGUACCUUUAUUUGGUGUGCUCAUCCUAGUACCUCAAAUGGACACGUUCCGGAUAAAAGUUUAGCACCGACUUUGAUUUGGCUGGAUUGUCCGUUGUAGUGAGACGCCAUGGCUCGCGAAUCCUAACAAGUGGUCUAGACUUGUUUCCCUUUGAUGAGUAGCUUUGUUUGGUGUGCUCAUCAUAUAACGUCAAAAGGACCCGUUCCGGAUAAAAGUUUAGCACCGACUCCGAUUUGGCUGAAUUUUCCGCCCUAGUAGGGGAACAUGCCUAGCGAGUCCCUACAAGUGGUCUAGUCUUGUUUUGCUUCGAUGAGUAGCUUUGUUUGGUGUGCUCGUCCUAAUACCUUAAAUGGACACAUUCCGGAUCAAAGUUUAGCACCGACUUCGAUAUGGCUGGAUUGUCCGUUCUAGUUAGAGGCCAUGGCUAGGGAGUCCCUACAAGUGGUCUAGACUUGUUUCCCUUUGAUGAGUAGCUUUGUUUUGUGUUCUCAUCUUAUAACGUCAAAAGGACCCGUUCCGGAUCAAAGUUUAGCACCGACUCCGAUUUGGCUGAAUUUUCCGCCCUAGUGAGGGAACAUGCCGAGCGAGUCCGUACAAGUGGCCUAGUCUUGUUUCGCUUCGAUGAGUAGCUUGGUUUGGUGGGCUCAUCCCAGUACCUCGAAUGGACACGUUCUGGAUUAAAGUUUAGCACCGACUCCGAUUUGGCCGCAUUGUGCGCCCCAGUGAGGGACCAUGCCUAGCGAGUCCCUACGAGCGGUCUACUCUUGUAUCGCUUGGAUGAGUAGCUCUGUUUGGUUGGCUCACCCUAGUAUCUCAAAUGGACACAUUCUGGAUCAAAGUUUAGCACCGACUCCGAUUUUGCCGAACUGUCCCUCCUACUGAGGGACCAUGCCUUGCGAGUCCGUACCAGUGGUCUAGUUUUAAUUCGCUUAGAUGAGUAGUUUUGUUUGGUGUGAUCAUCCUAGUACCUCAAAUGGACACGUUCCGGAUAAAACUUUAGCACCGACUCUGAUUUGGCUGAAUUGUACGUCUUAGUGAAGGACCAUGCCUAGCGAGUCCCUAUAAGUGGUCUAGUCUUGUUUCGUUUCGAUGAGUAGCUUUGUUUGGUGGGCUCAUCCCAAUACCUCAAAUGGACACGUUCUGGAUCAAAGUUUAGCACCGACUAUGAUUUGGCCGCAUUGUCCGCCCCAAUGAGGGACCAUGCCUAGCGAGUCCCUACAAGUGGUCUAGUCUUGUUUCGCUUCGAUGAGUAGUUUUACUUGGUGUGCUCAUCCUAGUACCUCAAAUGGACACGUUCCGGAUAAAAGUUUAGCACCGACUUUGAUUUGGCUGGAUUGUCCGUUGUAGUGAGACGCCAUGGCUAGCGAAUCCUAACAAGUGGUCUAGACUUGUUUCCCUUUGAUGAGUAGCUUUGUUUCGUGUGCUCAACUUAUAACGUCAAAAGGACCCGUUCCGGAUAAAAGUUUAGCACCGACUCCGAUUUGGCUGAAAUUUCUGUCCUAGUGAGGGAAAAUGCCUAGCGAGUCCCUACAACUGGUCUAGCCUUGUUUCGCUUCGAUGAGUAGCUUUGUUUGGUUGGCUCAUCCCAGUACCUCAAAUGGACACGUUCUGGAUCAAAGUUUAGCGCCGACUCCGAUUUGGCCGCAUUGUGCGCCCCAGUGAGGGACCAUGCCUAGCGUGUCCCUACAAGCGGUGAUAUGGACAUGCUAACCAUGGAUACGACCAUUAGAACCCUAAUUGUUGGUGUCUCUAAUAAUUAUAAUCUGGUGAAUUCAAUUACAAAAUGUUUUCAAUAUGUUAUUUGCAAAGAGGCGGAGCUACUAUCUUGUGUUAUCUUAUUAUGUAGGCAUCUUAUUGAACUUUACAAGUCCAAAGUGAAGAUGAAGAGUUAUAGCCUGCAAAGGGAGAUUCAAAGUGAAGCCUAUCAAGUCUACUUUCCAACAAAUCAAACGGCACAUGAUUCGGAGCUUGCUAGAGAAAGAUAUCACGAAUUAAAGUUGAAUCCGAUUCGGAUCCGAGCUGUCAGGAGACCCGAAUUUGUUUUAAUCACCCAGGCCGCAUCCGGAGUCCAAAUCAAGCAAACAAGUACUUGUUGGAAAGUUAAUUACAAGACCUUUCCAACGGAUCUGGCCCCAUCAAGAGAUUCGACUCGUGCUGACCGUGGCGGACAAAACAAGCAGACGGAUCUGUUUUUGUGUUUUUCCUAAAGAGUUGUACUUUGUUAGGAAAGUUAGAGAUAGAGUUGGAUUUCGGACUCCUUAUUCAAGGUGAACGAAAAUAUCUCUCCCUCCUCCUUUAUAUACCCCAUGAGCCCCCCUAAGGAGCCUUGGGUUUUGUUUAGUUAAAAGUUAGCCAUCGCUAAUACUUCGUGUAAUCGCAUGUGUCGGUUAGACCACCUGUUUUACCGCUUUCGGAACCCCAACUUAUCGUCUCGUUGAGAUAUUGGUUUGAUAUAGUAUAUUCGCAAUUUUAGAUUGCAUCCGCUAUUUAUCUUGUUCUUGCUUCUUCUUCGAUUGCUUGCAGGAACAAAGACCUUCGUGGUCAGGUUGAUCGUGCCCCCGCGUGAUCAAUAACCCUCUGGAGUUGGUGUAUCGAUUGCUAAGGCGCUGCCUCCUAGGCCGUAGUCGGAUCGUCAACGUCACCUCCUACCCAAAUCGAGAGUUACCAAUCUUAUCGAAAGAUCGGGCCACCCGCACCCGUAUCAAGUGGUAUCAGAGCUUAAGGUUGCUCGGUGAGAUUUUUCCAGUUUAUCCCUAGUUUAGAUCUGUUUUUACCUAUCGCCCAGAAAAAGCCAACAAAAAUUAGAAUUAGUUACCUUGUCCUAUAACCAAUCUGAGCCUUGCAAUUUUCACUUUAGUAUUUGCAUUGUUGAAUCUUUGCUGCAUUAAUCGUGUCGAGUUGCUGGAUUAGAUUGGAUCGUUUUUCAGAUUUUUUUCUACUAGAUCGAACUUGCUUUUGGUUUUCUUGUUCUUCGUGUGACGCAGGUUUCCUUCAUCAAUCUUCCGCCGCCAAACUUCCUGCCACACCACCGCCAUAAUCUCCCGCCGCCACCAUAUCUUCCACCGAGUCUCUCUUCGAGUCCUACACCGAGUCCCUCUUCGACUCCUACACCGAGUCCCUCGUCGAGUCCUACACCGUGUCCUACAUCGAGUUCUACAUUGAGUCGGGCAAGUUAUAGUUUUCAGCCGCAAGUUCGAGUCUGAGUCCAAUCAAGAGUGCUUUUGGAAAGUUUUCAUAAUAGAUCGAAUUUUGUUUAGAGAUCAAGUGGUUCGGAAAGUUGUCAAAAAAAAAGAAAGGAAAGAAAAAAAAGGAAAGAAAGAAAAAAAAAAGAAAAAAAAAAAGAGAAAGAGUUCGAGUCAGUUUCGGACCCGAGUCCGAGUAGAAUUUUAGUUUCGGGUGGGUUUGACCCGUGUUCAGUAAAACGGGCGUAUCUUUUGCGUACCAACUCGGAUUUGGACGUUCUUGGACUUUUUGGAAAGCUCGCGACGAGGCGCAUCAGGAAAUAUCCAGGGUUUUUCCCUGCACUUUGAACCUCAAAUUCGGUUUGUAAGGUGGACUUUCGGAGCUUCCAAGUUUCCGCAUCCGUUUUCCGGCGUCGCUGCAGCCCGGUGUUUCUCAGUUUUCUCCACCGUCCGACAUCCGUUUUGAGUGAUCUUGCCCUUGCUAGAAAGCUUGUGUUGAUACGCUUCUAACCCAUAUUUUUUCAUAUUUUUCUGAAUUUUUCUUACUGCAGCCUUUGCUGUUCUUCGACAGACCGACGUACAGUUUUCCGGUCCUUCGUUUGCGUGAGUUUCUGGGGUUAAAAAAAAAAGAAGAAGAAGAAAAGAAUAAGAAGCCAAACAGAAGGCCACAAAAAGAAAAAAGAAGAAAAAAAUCCCAGCGAUUUACUUGUUGUGCCAUCUUUUGAUCUUUCUAUCCUAUCUUCUUCAGUAUCUAGGCUUAGAUUAUUUCUGUAAUUCAUUCUUAUCGACUCCAGCAGCUAGGACUAGCAUUAUUGAGCAUAUUUUCAACUUUGCAUUGCUGAUUUGAUUAUUUGCUAUUCUUUGCUACUCACAAAAGUCUCCAAGCUCCACAGAUUCUACACCUAGGUUUGUUUGUUACCGAGGCAUCGAUACAUUUAAUCUUCGGAGGGCUUGGUCACGCCGCUGGCCAUCACCUUCCUAUUUUGCAUGGUAAGAACUUGUAAGAACUUGAUUUUUAGAUUAAGAGUUGAGCGACUUGUAGCCACAUCCUAUUAGUUGAUAGGAACAUAUUCCUGUGUUUUGUUUCUUGUCUUAUACUAACCAUGACAGGACUUACACAAAGGAUGGAAAAUAGGCCUAUGCUAUCAAGUGACCAACAUGAGCGUUUUUCACCACAUCCAUCCUCCUCGUCUCUUGUUGACAUUGGCAAGGAAAAGGUAUAUCGCAAUCCUUGUAAUGUCACUAAUUGUUUUGGACCUUUCUUUGAUGGAAAUAAUGAUGCUGAAGCUUAUAUUGAUUGGGAAAUAGCUCUAAUUGAGCAAUUCACAUGCUUCCAUGUACUAGAUAGUCGUAAGGUCCAAAUUGCUAGUAGUAGAUUUCGUUUUGAUGCAUUAUCAUGGUGGCGUGAGAUAGUUAGAGAAAACAAAAUACCUCACACUUGGAUUGAUAUGAAGAAAAUCA
rnacentral:lncRNA from 1 species